rnacentral:lncRNA from 1 species
AUUUAAUUGUGAGUAUUUAUUUCUUGAGCUUGAUAAUCCCAUGCUUUAUACUUUAGAUGGAGGAACCAUCAAGGCAUAUCCAUUCACCAACGAACAUUUUGUUACAAUUGAGGUUAGGGUUGAAAGCAGUAAAAACCUCAGGGGUCACACUGAAAUUUCCCAUAAUGCUGAAGCAUGUGUCUCCAAUAUUUGCACCAUAAAUCUUACUGCACACUAGAACAGAAUUUGUUCCAGUUUCAGCUGCACCCAUCAAGAAAAUAAUAUAUUAUUAAAUAAAAUUUACUUUUUAUAUUUAGGGUCAUGGGUCUUUUUAGGCAUAAUUAAUACUAGCAAGGUAAUAUAUUUAGGUUUGUUACUUACAUGAAAGUAUUCUACUUUUUGCCACGUAAACGGAGAGAAGGAACAGCAAGAACAAAGCUGAAAAGAACGGCUGAUACUUUGUAGUUGGCUCUUGCCAUUUCAGUUGUUUAAUUGCACAAAAACUGAUUUUAUGUUCGUCCCUUUACCUUUAAUCGUUGGAUUGGUGGAUGAAUUUGUUAAUGAUGUGUCUGCAUUUAUAGUGGAAUUACUUUAGAUAUUUAUCAAAAUGAGACGAAAAUUGGACGUUGUAAUUUCCUUCAAUUGACCACACGGUUGCCGACAUCGUUGUACACAUUACAUUAUCUACAACUUGUUAUGAAAUACAUAUCUAUAUGAAUGUCCACUAAUCAAAUAUAACUCUCACUACUCUUCUCCAUUAUGUAGAGAACCUCCAUUAUUUCUCACCAUUAUAGUUGUAACUCUCACACUUUCAUAAUCUUCCCAUGAUCUCAAAUGUUUAAUGCAAUAUUUAUGACAUUCUUUUAUAUACUUGUUAGAAUAUUAGAUAAAGGCUGAACUAUUUGGGCUAUUCUUAUAACUUAGGUCCAUGUCUAUAUUGAGUCCAUUGUUUUGUAUUAGUUAGGCCAUCGGGUCAGGCCCAUUAUUUAUAAGAGGAGUCCCUCAUUUUUGUAACCAGAUUGACAUUUCUCAAUGUAGAAAAUAUCUGCUUUCUCCUGAACCUUCUCUCAACCUAUGAACCCUAGUUUACAUUUUGUCAAUCUCUCUAUAAAUUUCGAUAAUUUACAUGGUAUCAGAGCAUAGAUUCUGGUAGAUCGUAUCAUUAGCUUCCGAUCGAUGUUAACCUCUUCAGUUUUCAUCGAUUGUUUUUUCGUUUGGACUGCAUUCGUAAUGGAUUAUGGUUUUGUUUGGUUUUUGUUGGAUGAUUUCUUCUCAUUAUCGUCCGUCUCUGCUGGAUUUUACUAUUUCUCUGGAUAUUUGACUGUACUUGGCUGAUUUGCUCAUCUGAUUCAAGCUAGGGUUUUCUCGUCGGUGUUUAGCUGAGCCACCGGAAGUUCGAUCACAAGGAUGUUCUCUUUUCAGUUGCAAAAUAGGGGGUACACCAGUUCUCUCUUCAUAUUUCAUAAAUUUGUUUGUUGAAUUGCUGACUGUUUCUUAUUGAUAUAUUUCCUCUCAAUGACGAAUGAUAAUCCUGCAAUUACACAUUCUUCUUCCUCUACUGCAUCUCGUACUAUAUUUCACGAAGAUAAUUUUACACAUCCAUGUCAUCCAUUAUAUAUACAUCCAUCGGAUGUGCUGGGAACCUCUUUGGUCUCUAGUCCAUUUGAUAGAAGUUGCUAUGGCAGCUGGAGGGAGAAACAUCUUGGUUGCUAUCUCCAUUCAUAAUAAACUUGAUUUUAUCAAUGGCACCUCUACAAAGCCACUUCUAAGAUCUCCUCUGGCACGUCAAUGGCAACGGUGUAAUGAUCUUGUAGUGUCAUGGUGGGUUAAUUCCUCGUCAAAAAAAAUAUCUCAUAGCGUAGAAUACUCUACAUAUGCUAAAGAUAUUUGGUGUGAAUUGGAGGAGAGAUACAGUAAGGCUGAUGGGGCCAGAGUUUUUGAGCUAAAGAAAGAAUUAGCACAUAUCUCUCAACGGUCUUUAGACAUAGCUUCUUACUUUAAUAAAAUCAAAUAACUUUGAGAUGAAAUAGCUUCUUAUAAGGUUAGAGUUUGUAAUUGUGGGGGUAAGGCUGCUGAAGAUGAAGAGCAGAAGGUUUAUCAGUUCCUUAUGGAUCUGAAUGAUACCUAUAUGCAAACUCGCAACAAUAUUUUAAUAAAGAAACCACUUCCAUCUGUUGGAAAUAUGUACAACAUCUUAUUAUAUGAUGAGAAGCAUAGGCAGGUGUCUUCUGUCCCAAUUCUCCACAGUCUGCUUCAUUAAAUGUUCGGACUUCUAAGCCAUCAUUUCCUUCCAAGGUUUCUUUUGAGGCUCCCAAGUCUUCUCUCAUAUGCAAAUAUUGCAAGAAACCUAGGCAUUCUAUAGACAAAUGCUAUAAAUUACAUGGAUAUCCUCCCAAUUUCAAGUUCAACAAAGGACCUCCCCCUCACAGAACUACUGCACAUGUUGAGCUUGAAUUUUCUGGUGGCUCUUCUGUGCCUUGUGGUUCUGAUAGUCCUGUUGAGAAUGAGUAGUCCUCUAUGAUACCUGGUCUUACCAAGGAUCAAUACUCUCAGGUGAUGAUCUGAUUACAAUAAUCCCAAAUCUCUACUUCCCCACAUUUUCCACUCUCUUGGCUUUUGCUAACUUUGCUGGUAAGCUUAUGCCUUAUGAGGGUGUUUCUUAUGGAGCUUGUAUGCUUUCUAGUAUGAAUGGAAUUGUUUGGAUAAUAGAUUUUGGAGCUACUGAUCAAAUGACUUCCAUCAGGAGUUUACUUUUAGAUAUAAUUACUCUUCUUAUUCCUUAUCUUUUGUCUCUUCCAAAUGGGUAUAAAGUAAAGGUUACCAAUGUUGGUUCUUUAGCUUUAUUUUCUGAUUUAAUUCUUCAUAAUGUUCUUUACAUCCCUAGUUUUAAACAUAAUCUCAUAUCUGUCCACAAGCUUUUGUCUCAUUGUGAUGAUGUUGUACAAUUUACCAAGUCUGCUUGCACUUUCCAGGGCCCUUCAGUGAGGAAGCCAGUGGUGCUUGGUAGACUAAACAAUGGACUUUACAAGUUGUUCCAACAUGUCACUUCUCCUGUUGAAUCUGUUAAUGUCAAUUCUUAUUCUUCUAUUGCUUGUUCUCUACAUGUAGUGUCUAAUAAUGUUGCUAUUGAUAAUUCAUCUGUAAAUACCAUGGUUGAUUCAAAUAAAAUGAAUAAAUCUGAUGUUGUUUGGCAUUAUACACUUGGACAUAUUCCUUUUUUCAAAAUGAAACUUAUUUUUGGUCUUGAUUGUAGACUAUCCUCCAAACAGUCUUUCAUAUGUCCCAUUUUCCCCUUAGCAAGACAAGCUGGGCUCCCUUUUCCUGAUAGUUCUAUUCAGUUCACUCACCCUUUUCAAUUUGUACAUAUAGAUACUUGGGGUCCCUACUCUACUCCCACUCAUUCUGGUUCUAAAUACUUUCUUACUACAAUAGAUGACUAUACUAGGGCUACCUGGACACAUUUGAUGGGAGCAAAGAGCAAUGCUUUUGAUUUGUUAAAACCUUUCAUCUUUAUGGUUGAAACACAGUUUCAAACUAAAGUACAGACUGUGAGAAGUGAUAAUGCUUUAUAGUUAGGCUCCAAUUCCUCUAGUUCUCUUUUCUUCUCUGAAAAAGGGGAUCAUUCAUCAAACUUCUUGUCCUCAUAUCCCUCAACAAAAUGAUGUAGUUGAAAGGAAACAUAGACAUUUGUUAGAGACUGUCAGGGCUCUUUUAUUUCAAUCUCACCUUCCUAUUAAAUUUUGGGGUAAUUGUCUUCUUACUGCUACUUACCUGAUAAAUAAAUUUCCUUCACCACUUCUCAAACACAAGAGUCCCUAUGAGUUACUAAAUUCUCGUCUCAGAUCCUUUGGCUGCCUUUGCUACUCAAUUGUGCCCAAACCUCAUAGAGACAAGUUUCAUCCUAGGUCUAUCUUUUGUGUGUUUAUUGGCUAUCCUUUUGCCAAAAUAGGUUAUAAACUUUACAAUUUGUCCACUAAAUCAUUUUUUGCCUCCAGAGAUGUGACUUUUCAUAAGCACGUCUUUCCUUUCUCAAAAUCUUUUGUUCCCUAAUCUCUUGGCAUACCUUCUUCCUUUGUUCCUAGUCACUUUUCCGAUGAUUCGCAUUCUCCCCUAUCUCCUCAUGUUCUUGUUUCUUCUCCCCAGUCCUCUCUCAUCUCUACUCCUCCUUCUCCUUCCUCAGGUUCCCCUGAUUUCAUUUUCUCUCCUUUCUCUAGCUCAUCUUCCCAUUCUAUUCUUCCUUCAUCUCCUACUCAAAUUACAAGAUCUAGUAGGCCUCAUACUAUUCCUGCUUAUUUUUAGGAUUAUGUAUGUCCUAUCCUUCCUCCUUCUGCAUCUCUCCUUGCUCCUUCUAGUUCUGAGUCUGUUUCCUUCAAUGCCACCAUUAUACAGCUCCACAACCCUGAACCUUAUACUUACUCUCAUGCUGCUGCUAUCCCUGAGUGGUAGGAUGCUAUGAGAAAGGAGUUUGAGGCUUUGGAGGCUAAUAGAACUUGGGAUAUUAUUGAGUUACCCCCGGUAAAAAUCCUAUAGGCUGCAAAUGGGUAUACAAAGUAAAAUAUAGAGCUGAUGGGAGUCUGGAAAUGUAUAAGGCCAGGUUGGUAGUUAGGGAUGAUACCCAGGUUGAGGGGGUUGAUUUUCAUGAAAUAUUUUCUCCUGUUGUUAAAAUGUCCACUGUGAAAUCUUUAAUUGUUGUUGUUGUCAAGCAACACUGGCUUCUAUUUCAACUUAAUGUUAAUAAUGCAUUCUUACAUAGAGAUCUUGAUGAGGAGGUUUUUAUGAAGGUACCUCCUGGAUUAUCUGUUCCUCCUUCUUGUUCUUCUCAUUUUCCUUUGGUUUGCAAGAUACUUAAGUCCCUCUAUGAUUUGAGACAGGCUUCCAGAAAAUGGUAUGCUAAAUUAUCUCAGGCUUUUUGUUCUAGAGGAUAUUCUCAUUCUUUAAAUGAUCACUCCCUAUUUUCUAAGGUUCUAGGACUUCUUUGGUCAUUUUACCUGUGUAUGUGGAUGAUAUCAUCCUUAUUGGGACUGAUUUGUCUAAGAUUUCUUUCAUAAAAGGCUUUAUGUAUGAACAGUUUAGAAUUAAGCACCUUGGUUCUCUUAAGAGGUUCUCUAUUCUGAUUAUAGGGUUCUUCUUCAUCAAAAGAAGUUUGUUCAUGACUUAUUGGAUUUUUUGCUUCUUCUGCUGUCGUUUGUCUUCUUGCUCUUUAUGAGAAACUGAAGGCUUCUGUUGGUGAGCCUUUGCUCAAGCCUGAAGAGUAUAGGUGCGUGGUAGGUAAGUUGAAACUCUUGACCCAUACAAGGCCUGAUAUUAGCUUUGUCGUUCAGCAUCUCAGCCAGUUCUUGCAGACUCCUUGUGUUCCCCAUAUACAGGAUGCUUUACACUUGUUGAGUUAUUUGAAGGACACUUCUCAUAUUGGACUUUUCUUUAGUAAUUCACCUGAUCUUUCCUUGAUGGUAUAUUGUGAUAGUGAUUGGGCUUCUUGUGCUGAUAGUAAAACAUCUGUGACUGGUUUCUGUGUUUUCCUUGGUGAUUGUUUGGUGAGCUGGAAAUCCAAGAAGCAGCCUAUGGUCUCUCUUUCCUCUGCUGAAGCUGAGUAUAGGGCCAUGAGUAAAGCUGCAGCUGAGGUCACUUGGCUUUCCAUGUUAUUAUCAGAUUUUGGUCUUCCUUCUUCUUCUCUCAUCCCUUUGUAUUGUGAUAAUCAGGCAGCUUUGCACAUUGCCCGCAACCCAGUAUUUCAUGAGCAGAGUAAGCAUAUAGGCUGGACUCUCAUUUCUUCAGAGAAAAAAUUGGUGAUGAGCUGAUCAGCUAGGGUCAUCUUUCCAGUAAUGCUCAAGCUGUUGAUAUUCUUACCAAGGCCCUUCCUAGGCCUGCUCAUCAUUUUCAUCUUCCCAAGUUGGAGGUUUUAUCACCCUCAACUUAAAGGGGGCUGUUAGAAUAUUAGAUAAAGGAUAAACUAUUUGGGCCAUUCUUGUAACUUAGGUCUAUGUCUAUAUUGAGUCCAUUAUUUUGUAUUAGUUGGGCCACCGGGUCAGGCCCAUUAUUUAUAAGAAGAGUCCCUCAUUUUUGGAACCAGAUUGACAUUUCUCAAUGUAGAAAAUAUCUGUUUUCUCUCGAACCUUCUCUCAAUCUAUGAACCCUAGUUUACAUUUUGCCAAUCUCUCUGUAAAUCUCGAUACUUAACAUACUUCUAUGUAAUACUAUAAAUAAAGAAUGAGAAAUGAUAUUGUACACACUUGAAAAGAAUUGGAAAACACUUGAUGAAAUAAGAAACUCCUCUCUUUCCUCUCUUUAUCUCUUGUCUAUUUUCUUGAUUUAUAUUGUUACUUUGAGCUUAGUUUCUUAACACAACCAUGUGCUCUUGUCCAUUUUUCUUUUCUUGGUUGUUCUUUUUCAUUUUUACAUAGAUAAUAAUAUCGGGAUCUUAGUCCAAUAACUGGUCAAUAUAAUCGUUGAAAUUUGAUAAGAAUAAUUUUCAUGAUACACCAAACAAAAUAUUGCACUUUGCGUGUCGUAUAUGCUUUUUAGUGUUUAAAAAAAUGGAUGAAAAAUUAAAUGAGUAGAUGAGCAGUAUCAUUGUAGCAAUAAUUUUUUUUGUGAAAAUAAGUGCAUAGUAGAAAAAAAUAAAUGUAUGGAUUUCAAAAAAUAUAUCUACUACCAGUAUUCUAGAUCUGCCUUUAGUCUACAUCUGGACCCUCGUGUUAUAGUAACAAAUGCCUAAGUAGAUCAGCCCUCUAAGUCCCUAACCUUUAUCUUUAUCAUCAUUACAAGUUAGCUUCGAUCAUCGAAUUUGAAGUUUGUUUUCAUAUAUAUUGAGUUUCAAUGGUUAUGUCAAUAAAUCAGUCAUCACGAAUUUUGAUCAAGUCAAGACGGGUUAAGUAAAUAUAGGUAAAAUAAUGAGCUACAACUCUACUUUUUCUACUUAACUUUCCGAAUUGGAUGACGAAAAUAAAAGUUCACCAAUUGGACGAGUUUUAUUUUACCAAGCGAAUUUACACUUCAAGAUGUCAAAUGAGUAGCUUGAGUUAGCAGUGAUAACACAUUAAAAAAGGUGAGUCUUUAUAGAGUCAUGACUCGACUCAUUCAAUAUUUCCACGGGUUGAUUUAAUAAACAACGAGUCAUAACCGCUUGCCCAACUUAAGUUUGGGCCGAUUCAGCAAUUUGUAUUUGGAAAACUACCAGCUAUGUCUAUUUAUAAGUAGCUUAUUAUAAAAUUUGGUCAAUUCACAAAAUAUUGCUAAUAUUAGCCAAAUAUUACUAAUAUUAGCUAAUUAUCUAUCUGUAAUAAAAAUAUUAAAUUUUUGCUUUCUCUUGAGUGAGUGCUAUUAGAAUGUAUUGGGUACAUCUUAAGGAGUUUGAAUCUCGAUUUUAGCAUGAUUUGGUAGAGUUUUGAGGUAGUUUGAAUUGAAAAUUCAAAAUUGUAAUGAGCCGGCCGACCGUUUUAAAAGUUGUAUCUCCGUUCCUCCCUUUACUGCUCAUUUUAUACUUUUCAGUUGUUAUGUGACUUGCUGGGGUAGUCGGUUCAGGUCCGGAGGGAUUUCAAAAUAAAUUGAGACACUUAGUCUCAAGGUUGGAAGCUUAAGUUGAAAAAGUUGACCGGAUGUUGACUUAUAUGUAAAAGACUCCUAAAUAGUGUUUUGAUGGUUCCGUCAGCUUCGUCGGGUGAUUUUGGACUUAGCCGCGUGUCCGGAUAGUGGUGUGGAGGUCUGUAGUUGAACUAGGCUUGAAAUGGUGGAAGUUAGAAAUUUGGAAGUUUGACCGUGAGUGUACUUUAUGGUUACCGUGCUCGGAUUGGGGUUCUGGGAGUUGGAGUAGGUCCGUGGUAUUAUUUUUGACUUGUGUGCAAAAUUUGAGGUCAAUCAGACGUGAUUUGAUAGGUUUCGGCAUCGUUUGUAGAAGUUGGAUUUCCUUAGUUUCAUUAGGCUUGAAUUGGGGUGCGAUUCAUAUUUUUGAUGUUGUUUGAUGUGAUUUGAAGGCUCGAUUAAAUUCGUAGCGUGAUUUAGGACUUGUUGGUAUAAUUGAUUGAGGUCCCGGGGCCUCGGGUUGAUUUCGGAUGGUUAAUGGAUCGUAUUUAGAGUUUGAAAGAUUGUUGAAGCUGGGAGUCUUCUGGUACAAUCGCACCUGUUGUAAUGACCCGACCGGUCGUUUUGAGCAUUUGCACUUCGCUCGCUAGUUGUCGGGCAUGACUAGCCUCAUAUGAUGUAUUAUGACUUAUGUAAAUCAUCGGUUUUGAUUUUCAGGAUAAUCGGAAUAGAUUUGGAAGAACAAUUCUCAGCUUGAAGCUUUAAAUUUAAAAGGNNNNNNNNNNNNNNNNNNNNNNNNNCUAUUUUUUUUAUAUAUUUUCAAAUUUUAGUUUUGUUUUAGUCACCACCAAAAAUUCUACCCUCCCCCCUCCCCCCUCCCCCCCCCCAACAAAAAAUGUUUUUGUUAUUUAUAUAUUUUUUGUCACGACCGGGAAUUUCCACCAACGGGACCGUGAUGGCGCUUAACAUCACACUCGCUAGGAAAGCCAAUGUUAGAGAUUUAUUAACCAUUUUCCUUUACCAUUCAUUGAAUAAAAAUAAACAAGUUAAAACAAGUGAUCAUAACUAUGGAAGUAAGUAAAACACUUCUUUAUAUAUAAACUAUUGCCAGAACUAUUACUACUACUACCACCCAGAAACUGGUGUCACAAUCCACGAACAUACUAUGAAUUACUACAAAUAUUGGUCUGAAAGAAAAAUAGAAAUGUAGAAUUUUAGAAGGGGACGUCGGAGCCUGCGGACGCCAACAGGACUACCUUGGGUUUCCAAACUGUGGACCUGCAGCUAAUCUCUCAAUCAGCCACUGCCUGCUCCGAAAUCUGCACAGAAAGUGCAGAGUGCAGUAUUAGUACAAUCGAUCCCAUGUAGUGGUAAGUGCCGAGCCUAACCUCGACAAGGUAGUGACGAGGCUACGGCGGGGCAAUUACAAUAUAUCUUGCAUACAGUAGAUAAAAAAGCGAAAAAGAAGUACGGUACAAAAUGAAACAGUAACUUGCAACAAAAAUGAAUACGGAACUCAAAUAUCUUAUCAGUACCAACUAUAACCAAUCCUUAAGUGAGAUAAAACACUACAGAGUAACUUCACAACCGAAAAAGGAUACAUAAACAAUAAACUGAUGCGGUGCGUAUCCGAUCCCACUAUAUAAUAACAAUUCACCAUUAUUCCUCCUCAAUAUAUCACCCUUAUUCCUCCUAUUGUGGCGUGCAACCUGAUCACACCAUAUUAGUUCCAAUCGAACAAGAAGAACAGAAAUUUCACAAUAUGGCUCAAAACUCCCCACAAUAUUUAACCUCAACUAAAACAAACGAAAAGCGGUAAAAUUAUGAAACUUCACUCGAACUAUACUAUUCAGCGAGACCAAUCCAAAGUAUACUAAUAAACAUUGAUAAAUAGCUUAAACAAAUAAUAUGAAACGAUGAAACCACGUAAUGUCCAAUACUUUUAACAAUGAAAGCAGUAUCCGACAAGUAGCAACUAAUCAUAGAAAUAUCAAAUAGACAGGUAGCAAUUAAGGCAAGAUAAAUUAAGCACGGGAAGGGAACAGUCAAAUAGAUAAAUUAGCAGUGCAUAGGUACUCGUCACCUCACCUAUAAGCCACACACAUGGAAUUUUACAUAGCAAUUAAGUCGGGGAUCCCUAAUCCUUCGAGUCAAAGUUAGAUCAAACACUUACCUCAAUCCAACGGACAACUCAAAUGCGAAAUACCCAGUCCCCUCCCAUGCUCGCAAAUGCGAGUCUCGCAUUUGCGAGCCAGACCUCGUAUUUGCGAGAUCUUCAGACCUGAAGCACACCAGCAAAUUUUCUUAAUUCCAAAUUACUCUUUAGCGUAUCCAAAACUCACUCAAGCCCUCGAGGUUUCAAACCAAACAUGCACAGAAGUCUUAAAACAUCAUACAAACUUGCUCAUACGAUCAAAUCGCCAAAAUAACACCUAGAACUACGAAUUUAGCACCAAAUUGCAUCAAAUUUUUAAGAAAGUUUUAAAAUUUCUAUUUUCUCAAUCGAAUGGCCGAAUCACGUCAAAUUAGUUCUGUUUCUCACCAAAUUUCACAGAUAAGGUAUAAAUAUCAUAACAGAUAUGUACCGGGCUCCAGAACCAAAAUACAGACACGAUACCAACAAGAUUAAACAUUACCAAAAUUCUUUAAACCAUUAUAAUUUCAGUCUUACAAUUUUCAUCAAAAAUUCAUUUCUCGGGCUAAGGACCUCGAAAUUCGAUUUCGGGCAUACGCCCAGGUCCUAUAAUUUGCUACGGACCCACUGGGACCGUCAGAAUACGGGUCCAGGUCUAUUUGCUCAUAACAUUGUCCGAAGUCAACUAAUUAACUUUUUAGGCCAAAAAUUAUUAUUUCAUAAAUUUUCCAUAUAAAAGCUUUCCGGAAUCAUGCCCAUACUGUGCACGUAAAUUGAGGAGAGAUAAAAUAAGGUUUUUAAGGCCUCAAAACACAUAAUCGAGUUCUAAAGCAUAAGAUGACCCUUUGGGGCAUCACAUUCUCCACCUCUAAAACAAUUGUUCGUCCUCGAACGGACAUAGAAAAGUACCUAAGCUGGUGAAAAGGUGGGGAUAUUUGCUCCGCACAUCGGACUCGGACUCCUAGGAGCUAUCUCGACAGGCUGACCUCUCCACUGCACUCAAACCGAAGGAUAACUCUUUGAUCUCAACUGACGAGCCUGCCGGUCUAAAAUGGCUACCGUCUCCUCCUCGUAGGUCAAAUCCCGGUCCAACUAGAUAGUGCUGAAGUCUAACACAUGGGAUUGAUCAUCGUGACACUUCCAAAGCAUGGUCAAAUGAAACACUGGAUGUACCACUGAUAAACCUGGUGGCAACGCAAGUUUAUAGGCCAUCUCUCCCACUUGCUCAAGGAUAUUGAAAGGUCACCUAGGGCUUAACUUGCCCUUCUUCCCAAAUAGCAUCACACCCUUCAUGGGUGAUACCCGAAGCAACACUCUCGCUCCGACCAUGAAUGCCACAUGACGAACCUUACGGUCGGCAUAAAUAUUUUGCCUAGACUGAGCUGUACGAAGUCUAUCCUGAAUGAUCUUGACCUUAUCCAGGGCAUCCUGUACCAAAUCUGUACCCAAUAACCGAGCCUCCCCGGCUCAAACCACCCAACCGGCAAUCGACAAUGUCUACCAUAUAAUGCCUCAUAGGGAACCAUCUGGAUGCUCGACUGAUAACUGUUGUUGUAGGCAAACUCCGCUAACGGCAAGAACUAAUCCCAAGAAAUCCUCCAUGAUCUGAAUAGUACGCUCGGACUGUCCAUCCGUCUCAGGGUGAACUGUUGUGCUCAACUCAACCAACGUACCCAACUCAUGUUGUACCACCCUUUAUAAGUGCGAGGUAAACUGUGUACCACGAUCAGAAAUGAUAGACAUGAGCACCCCAUAAAGACGAACGAUCUCACAGAUAUAAAUCUCUACCAAUCGCUCCGAAGAAUAGGAAACUGCCACAGGAAUGAAAUGUGCUGACUUGGUCAGUUUAUCCACAAUAACCCAAAGUGCAUCAAACUUCCUCUGAGUCCGUAGGAGUCCAACAACAAAAUCCAUGGUGAUACGCUCCCACUUCCACUCAGGAAUAUCUAUCUUCUGAAGCAAACCACCAGGUCUCUGAUGCUCGUACUUUACUUACUGAUAAUUUAAACACCAAGCUACAUGUGCAACUAUAUCCUUUUUCAUCCUCAUCUACCAACAAUGUUUUUGCAAGUCCUGAUACAUCUUAGCGACGCCCGGAUGAAUAGAAUACCGGGAACUGUGGGCCUCCUCUAGAAUCAACUCAUGGAGUCCAUCCACAUUAGGCACACAAACACGACCCUACAUCCUCAAAACUCCAUUGACUCCAACUGUAACCUGCUUGGAAUCACCGUGCCGCACUGUGUCCCUAAGGACAAGCAAAUGAGGGUCAUCACACUGCCAAUCCAUGAUGCGCUCAAAUAAAAAAGACCGAGCAACUUUGUAAGCUAAAACACGACUGGGCUCAGAAACAUCCAACCUCACGAACUGAUUGGCCAAUGCCUGAACAUCUAAUGCAAACGGUCUCUCACCGACUAGAAUGUACGCAAGGCUGCCCAUACUAGCUGACUUUCUACUCAAAGCAUCGGCCACCACAUUGGCCUUCCCGGGAUGAUACAAGAUAGGGAUAUCAUAGUCUUUCAAUAACUCCAACCACCUUCUCUGCCUCAAAAUGAAUUCUUUUGUUUGAACAAAUACUGCAAACUCUUAUGAUCCGUGAACACCUCACACGACAUGCCAUAGAGAUAGUGCCUCCAAAUCUUCAGCACGUGAACAAUGGCUGUCAGCUCCAAGUCAUGAACUAGAUAGUUCUUCUCGUGAAUAUUUAGCUUCCGCAAAGCAUAUGCAAUAACCUUGCUACCCUACAUCAAUAUCGCACCAAGUCCAAUACGUGAUGCGUCAAAAUAUACUGUAUAGGGCCCUAAACCCAUGGGCAACACCAACACUGGCGUUGUAGUCAAAGCUGUCUUGAGCUUCUGAAAGAUCGCUUCACACCCGUCUGACCAUCUGAACGGGGCACCCUAAGGCGAGACACUUGGUCUAAUAAUGGAGCACCCGUCUGACCUUGGCCUUUGUCUCUCAGAGUUUGAAGAAUGAUUCGAAGAUGCUGCUCAUGCUCCUCUCGGCUGCGGGAGUAGAUCAAGAUAUCAUCAAUAAAAAUAAUCACAAAGGAAUCCAAGUAAGGCUUGAACACCUGGUUCAUCAAAUCUAUAAAUGUUGUUGGGGUAUUUCCCAAGCAAAAUGACUUCACUAGAAACUCAUAAUACCCAUAUCGAGUCCGAAAAGUUGUCUUAGGGACAUCGGAUGCCCUAAUCCUCAACUGAUGGUAGCCAGACCUCAAAUCGAUAUUUGAAAACACCUUGGCAUCCUAAAGCUAAUCAAAUAAGUCAUCAAUCCUCGACAAUGGAUACUUGUUCUUGAUGGUGACUUUGUUCAACUACCGAUAGUCUAUACAUAUCCUCAUCGACCCAUCCUUCUUGUUUACAAACAAUACCGGCGCAGCCUAAGGCAAGACACUUGGUCUAAUAAAGCUCUUAUCAAGCAAAUCUUGAAACUGCUCCUUCAAUAUUUUCAACUCUAGCGGGGCCAUGCGGUAUGGCGAAAUAAAAAUAGGUUGAGUGCCCGGAACCAAAUCAAUACAGAAGUCAAUAUUCUGUCAGGUUGUAACCCUGGCAGGUCUGCAAGAAAUAGCUUAGGAAAUUCUCGGACAAUUGGUACAAAAUCCAUGUAAGGAACCUCCAUACUAGAAUCACGAACAUAAGCCAAAUAACCCAAACACCCCUUCUCGACCAUAGCCUUCAUAUAAGAGGUAACCCUACUGGUAGAAUGACUAGGAGUCCCUCUCCACUUUAAUCGAGGCAACCCUGGCAAGGCUAAAGUCACUAUCUUGGCAUGAUAGUCCAAUAUGGCAUGAUAAGGUGACAACCAAUCCAUCCCCAAAAUAACAUCGAAAUCAACCAUAUCGAGAAGUGGGAUAUCUACACUAGUCUUGAGACCGCCAAUAAUAACCACACACGAAUGAUAGACACGAUCUACAAUAAUAGAAUCCCUCACCGAUGUAGACACAUACACAAGAGCACUCAAAGAAUCACGAGGCAUAACCAAAUAUGAAGCAAAAUAAGAUGACACAUAGGAAUAUGUACACCCUGGAUCAAAUAGAAUUGAAGCAUCUCUACUGCAAACUGAAACAUUACCUGUGAUAACAGCGUCGGAUGACUCAGCCUCAGGCCUGGCUAGGAAAGCGUAACAUCGAGGCUGGGCCCCACCAUUUUGAACCAUAUCCCUGGGACGGCCUCCUGCUCGCUGGCCUCCACCUCUAGCAACCUAAUCUCUACCUCUAGCGGCCUGACCUCUACUUCUGGCUCCCUGGCCCCUACCUCUAGCUAGAUAAGCGGGCAGUGCCGGAAUCAUGGCACGAGAACCCUGCUGCUGUGGCUGAACACCUACUAAUCUUGGACAGGUCCUCCGGAUAUACCCAUACUCACCAUACUCGAAGCAUCCAUCUUGAUAUUGUGGCUGUGGAAACUGAGACUGACCCUGAUGGGCCGACUGACCGCGAUAAUAACUCUAAAAGGAGAUGCUCUAAUAGGAGCUGGUGUUUCACUAUAAGUUGGCUGCCUUGAAGGAGGUACAUAAGGACUACGAUUCCUUGAAGCUCCAUGGGAUGUCUGAAGUACUGAAUGAAACGGCCUAGGAGGAUGGCCCCUACCAAAAGCACCUCGACCACCAGAUGAGGCCCCACUAAAUCCACCGGAGUGAUGCGGCCUCUUAUCAGACCCCUGACCACUCCCUUGAGCUAGGACCAUCUCAACUCGUCUGGCCACAUUGGUUGCAUGGAAAGAAAUCUCACUCCAUAUCUCCUUAGCCAUCUGCAAUUUGAUAGUUUGAGCAAGUCCCUCAAUAAACCUCCUCACCCUCUAUCUCUCUCUAUCUCUCUCUCUCUCUCUGUAGGAAGUAUAAGAAGAGCAUGACGGGCCAAAUCAACAAAUCUAGUCUCGUACUGAGUGACAGUCAUAGAACCUUGUUGAAGGCGCUCGAACUACAUCCGGUAGUCCUCUAUUUGAAUGAUAGGAAGAUACUUCUCCAGAAAUAGCUGAGAGAACUUAUCCCAAGUAAAAGAUGGAGACCCAGCUGAUCUGGCCAAACAAAAAUCCCUCCACCAUUUCUUGGCGAAACCUGAUAGACGAAAGGCAGCAAAGUCGACCUCAUUGGUCUCCACUAUCCCCAUGUUCCGUAAUACCCGUGGCAACUAUCCAGAUAGUCCUAGGAAUCCUCUAAAGGUGUACCGCUAUACUGAGUGGUGAAAAGCUUGGUAAACCUAUCCAAUCUCCACAAAGCCUUAGAAGACAUAGCUGAUCCAUCAUCGGUCUAUGCUGCAACUCCUGGCAGAACUACCCCAACCGGCUGAGUUGCUGGGGUCUGAAACUGGGGAGCAAUAUGCUCCGGAGUGUGAGUAGCGGGAGUCUGGGCUCCUCCCUCUGCCUGAGAGAUGGCUGGUACUAUAGGAAAUGUGCCAGCCUGAGCAACACUCUCCAUAAAGCCCACUAGACGGACCAAAGCAUCUUGAAGUAUUGUGGUAGUGAUGAACCCCUCUGGAACCUGAGAUGGCCCAGCUGGAACGGUCUAGGCUGGAGCCUCCUCAUCAAACUCUACCUGAGGCUUCGCUGUUGGUGCUGGUGCUCAAGCUCUGGACUGAGCCCUGCCCCUGCCUCGUCAUCUGCCCCUCGUAGGAGCUGCCACUGGGGGCUCUAGCUGCUGCUCAGCUGAAGAAGCGGUACGUGUUCUCGCCAUCUGCAAAGGAGCAAGAGUAGAGAGGUCAAUUACCAUUGAGAGACCAAAUCGCACGACGGAGAUGAAUAGAAGUGAAAUUGUUCCUAAAUUUGUAGCCUCUGGGAGAUAAGCACAGACAUCUUCGUACCGAUCCCUCAGACUCUACUAAGCUUGUCCAUAAAUUGUGAGACCUAGGCAACCUAGUGGUCUGAUACCAAUGUUAGAGAUUUAUUAACCAUUUUCCUUUACAAUUUAUUGAAUAAAAAUAAACAAGUUAAAACAAGUGAUCAUAACUGCGGAAGUAAGUAAACACUGCUUUAUAUAUAAACUAUUGCCAAAACUAUUACUACUACUACUACUACCCAAAAACUUGUGUCACAAUCCACGAACAUACUAUGAAUUACUACAAAUAUUGGUCUGAAAGAAAUUACAUCUUUUUGAAAAGAAAGAAAAACAGAAAUGCAUAAAUGUAAAAGGGGAUGCCAGGGCAUGCGGACGCCAAUAGGACUACCUUGUGUCUCCAAACUGUGGACCUGCAGCCAAUCACUCAAUCAGCCACUGCCUACUCCGAAAUCUACACAGAAAGUGCAAAGUGCAGUAUCAGUACAACCGACCCCAUGUAUUGGUAAGUGUCGAGCCUAACAUCGAUGAGGUAGUGACGAGGCUACGGCGAAGCAAUUACAAUAUAUCCUGCAUACAUUAUAUAAUGAAGCAAAAAAUAAGUACGGUACAAAAUGAAACAGUAACUUGCAACAAAAAUGAAUACGGAACUCAAAUAUCUUAUCAGUACCAGUUAUAACCAAUCCUUAAGUGAGACACAACAUUAUAAAGUAACUUCACAGCAGAAGAAGGAUACAUAAACAAUAAACCGAUGCGGCGCGCAUCCCGAUCCCUCUAUAUAAUCAGUAACAGUAUGAACAUUCACCCUUAUUACUCCUUAUCAAUCCACUCUUAUUCCUUCUGUUGCAGCGUGUAACUCGAUCCCACCAUACAAUAGUAAUUCACCCUUGUUACUCCUCAAUAUAUCACCCUUAUUCCUCUUGUUACGGUGCGCAACCCGAUCCCACCAUAUCAGUGCCAAUCAUACAAUAAGAACAGAAAUUUCACAAUAUGGCUCAAAACUCCCCAUAAUAUUUAACCUCAACUAAAACAAACGGGAAGCUGUAAAAUUAUGAAACUUCACUCGAACUAUACUACUCAGCGAGAUUAAUCCAAAGAAUACUAAUAAACACUGAUAAAUAGCUUAAACCAAUAAUAUGAAAUGAUGAAACCACGUAAUGUCCAAAACUUUUAACAAUGAAAGUUAUAUCCGACAAGUAGCAACUAAUCAUGGAAAUAUCAAAUAGACAGGUAGCAAUUAAGGCAUGGAACAAUAAAUUAAGCAUGGGAAGGGAACAAUCAAACAGAUAAAUUGGCGGCGCAUAGGUACUCGUCACCUCACCUAUGCGUCACACACAUGGAAUUUCACAUAGAAAUUAAGUCGGGGAUCCCUAAUCUCUCGAGUCAAAGUUAGACCAAACAAUUACCUUAAUCCAACAACCAACUCAAAGCUCAAUUACGGCUUUUCCUUUAGUUUCCACCUCCGAACCACUCGUAUCUAGUUAUAAUUAACUUAAUAACAUCAUUUAUCGCUAAGAAAAUCAAUUCCAAUACAUAAUUAUAGGUUUUCCAAUAUGUUCCCCCAAAAAAUUAAAAACUGACCCCGGGCUCGCUUGGUCAAAACUCGAGGUUCGGACCAAAACUCAUUCACUCAUUCACCCCUGAGCCCGAAUAUGUAAUUAGUUUCGAAAUCCGACCUCAAAUCGAGGUCUAAAUUUCAAUUAUACAAAAAUCACUAAUUCUACCUAAGCCCCCAAUUUUCACCGUGAAAUCGUUAAAUUUUUUGUUGAAUUCUUGUAGAAUGAAGUGAAAGAUUAAAAGAAACAAGUUAGGAAUCAUUUACCUAUGAUUUGGGGAAGAAUUGAUCUUUGAAAAAUCGCCUAGAGGGUUUCUUGUAUUUGGAAGCUUUUAAAAAUGAGAAAAAUCCCGUCUAAGCCAAGACUUAUCAGCUGCAGAUGUCGUAUUUGCCACCUGAGCUUUGCAUUUGCGAAGCUCGUAAAUGCUAGAAAAGUAUCGCAAAUGCGAACUCCCUCGCAUUCCUGUAGCUAUCGUAAAUGCGUAGUUUCAUUCGCAAAUGCGGACCUUUUCUUCGCAAAUGCAAACUACCCAGUCCCCUACCAUGCUUGCAAAUGCGAACAUUCUUCGCAAAUGCGAGGCUCGUAUUUGCGAGAUCGGCAGACCUGAAGCAUACCAGCAAAUUUUCUUAAGUCCAAAUCACUUUGUAGCCUAUCCGAAAUUCACUCGAGCCCUCGGAGCUCCAAACCAAAUAUGCACACAAGUCUUAAAACAUUAUACAAACUUGUUCAUGCGAUCAAAUCGCCAAAAUAACACCUAGAACUACGAAUUUAGUACCAAAUUGCAUGAAAUUUUCAAGAAAGUUUUAAAACUUCUAUUUUCUCAACCGAAGGUCCGAAUCACGUCAAAUCAGUUCCGUUUCUCACCAAAUUUUAUAGAUAAGGUAUAAAUAUCACAACGAACCUGUACCGGGCUUCGGAACCAAAAUACAGACCUGAUACCAACAAGAUCAAACAUUACCAAAAUUCUUUAAACCAUUAUAAUUUCAGUCUUAUAAUUUUCAUCAAAGAUUUAUUUCUUGGGCUAUGGACCUCGGAAUUUGAUUCUGGGCAUACGCCCAAGUCUCAUAUUUUACUACAGACCCAUCGGGACCAUCAGAACACGGGUCUGGAUCCGUUUACUCAAAACAUUGACCGAAGUCAACUAAAAUCAACUUUUUACGUCAAAAAUUAUUAUUUUAUAAAUUUUCCACAUAAAUGCUUUCCAGAAUUACGCCCGGACUGCGUACGCAAAUCGAGAAGAGAUAAAACGAGGUUUUAAGGCCUCGAAAUGCGAAAUUGAGUUCUAAAACAUAAGAUGACCCUUUGGAUCAUCACAUUCUCAGUUUUAGUUUUUUUAUCUUUGGGUUUUAAGGGUUCAGAAGGUUGUUGGUUCGAAAGCUUAUGGCUUCAUAUUUAUUGUAUCUAAAUUAUUUAUAAAUUCUCCUGAGAAGUUAUUUUUCUUAAUUUGUGUACCAAACACCGAAAAUGAAUAAGAUUACUACUUGUUUUCCAAGAAAAUAUUUUCUUGGAAAACAUUUUCCGUGGAAAAUAUUUUCCGUUAUACCAAACACCCCCUUUGUCACAAUUGAGAUUGGGAUUCAAAGUAGUAAAAGCCUCGGGGGUCACACUAAAAUUUUGCAUAAUGCUGAAGCAUGUGUCUCCAAUAUUUGCACCAUAAAUCUUACUGCAUAUUAUAAUUAUUGAAAAAUAAAAGAUAAAUUACACGGCUAGUAUUUGGUCGAUGAGUGAAAAUGUACUAUUAUAUUAAAGUUUAGUAGUAAUAUUAUCAAAUCAAAUAGUUUUUUAUGAAAUUUUUGAGUAUUAAAGAUGGAUGAUAAUAUCUUGGUUUUAUUUUGAGCAAGUGGCAUUAAAAACUAAGAUAGUUUGAACUUCGAAGGAAAAUGUGAGGAAAGUCAUUUUACGUAUGAACAUAUUUUCUAGUAAUCAAACACUAAAAAUGACUUCCAUUGUACCAAAAAUAUUCUUAACUAUUUUCUUAGAAACUUACUUCGAUCCCAUACCAAAAACACCUGUAAGUAAUUUAUUUUAUUUUUUAAAGAAAAUGACUUCCCUUAGUAAAAAAAAACACCCUUAAGUUACAUGGAAGGAAGUUGUUUCGAAAGAUCUAUAAAUCAUUGUAAGCACCGUAGAUUUAGCUAAAAAUAAAGUACAAUGGAAGAGAAAAAUCUAUAUCGGUGAUGCCUACUAAUUGAGAAUAGGUUUUAGACUUGGUAGAGAACUCCUAUUAUUAUUAUUAUUAUUAUUAUUAUUAUUAUUAUUAUUAUUAUUAUUAUUAUUAUUAUUAUUAUUAUUAUUAUUAUUAUUUUACUACUAAUAAUAAUUUUUACUUGCACUUAUAAUUUAUUUUAGUACUAAUGAUGAUAUAAGUUAAGCUGAAUGAAAAGAAUAAAGAUUUUAUAUCGCCGACCUCAAAUUGCUUGGAAAUGACGCGUAGUUGUUGUUAUUAUUAUAAAUCAUACAUAGACUAUUUUGCGAAUUAUAUUAUUGAAGUAUAGAUUAUUGACAUUUAUGUCUGUUGAUUGUUUAUAAUCUGAUUGAAGGAAGAAAAUCAUAUGUUUUUUCAAUGAUACAUAUGAUAUUUAAUAACUUACAUUCUUCACUUUAAUAAGACAAAACAAUUUUUUCUAUGAUACCUUGUGAAUUACUAACUUGCCUUCUUGACUUUAAGUGUCAAAAGAAAGUAAUGUACAAUUUUACCACAAGGUGUUGUGUUCAAUUUUAUAUCGAAAAAUGGUUUCAUGCAUUCACACAUAUCCCAUGUAUCAUUACUUCAUUUUGAUUGCUGAUUGCACAACCUUUAUUAAUUCUUAGUUUUUAUCGUUGUCUAAAUUAACUUUGCGAAGGGAGCGGUGAAACUACGAAACGUUUAGGAAUCGGAAACAAAUUACCAAAUCAAAUAAAAAAAAUCAAUUUGAUUUGGUAUUUUGUUUCCAAAUGGUUCUAACUCAGUCCAUCAAGUUAAUUUAAUUAAGAAUGACAUGCUAGUAGUAAUAGCUGGGUAAUAUACCAAAAUGCUGCUCAAUAGAGGGAAUACGUAGAUUAUAGAUAGAAUUUGAUCGUCUUGUGCAAGUUAUAUAUAAAGAUCAAUUAUGAAGUACGCUAAAAAAUCAGCUUAGAACAUGAAUUAAUUAUAUAAAUUUUUGAAGAAAGAAGCUGGAAUAUGAAAAAAAAAACCGAAACAAUACAAAAAAGCUAGAUUAAAUUGCUUUUUUAAUCAUACAUUAGCUUUACUCUUUAUUCGCAAAUCAGACAGUGCUGAUUUAAUUGUGAGUAUUUAUUUCUUGAGCUUAAUAAUCCCUUGCUUUAUACUUUAGAUGGAGGAACCAUCAAGGCAUAUCUAUUCACCAAUGAACAUUUUGUCACAAUUGAGGUUAGGGUUGAAAGCAGUAAAAACCUCGGGGGUCACACUGAAAUUUCCCAUAAUGUCGAAGCACACUGAAAAUUCCCAUAAUGUCGAAGCAUGUGUCUCCAAUAUUUGCACCAUAAAUCUUACUGCACACUAGAAUAGAAUUUGUUCCAGUUUCAGCUGCACCCAUCAAGAAAAUAAUAUAUUAUUUAAUAAAAUUUACUUUUUAUAAUUAGGGACAUGGGUCUUUUUGGGCAUAAUUAAUACUAGCAAGGUAAUAUAUUUAGGUUUGAUACUUACCUAAAAGUAUUCUAAUUUCUGCCACGUAAACGGAGAGAAGGAACAGCAAGAACAAAGCUGAAAAUAACGGCUGAUACUUUGUAGUUGGCUCUUGCCAUUUCUAUUGUUUAAUUGCACAAAAACUGAUUUUCUAUUCGUCCCUUUUCCUUUAAUCGUUGGAUUGGUGGAUGAAUUUGUUAAUGAUGCGUCUGCAUUUAUAGUGGAAUUACUUUAGAUAUUUAUCAAAAUGAGACGAAAUGUGGACGUUGUAAUUUCAUUCAAUUGACCACACGGUUGCCGACAACGUUGUACACAUUACAUUAUCUACAACUUGUUAUAAAAUAUAUAUUUAUAUGGAUGUCCACUAAUCAAAUAUAACUCUCACUACUCUUCUCCAUUAUGUAGAGAACCUCCAUUAUUUCUCACCAUUAUAGUUGUAACUCUCACACUUUCAUAAUCUUCCCAUGAUCUCAAAUGUUUAAUGCAAUAUUUAUGACAUUCUUUUGUAUACUUGUUAGAAUAUUAGAUAAAGGCUGAACUAUUUGGGCUAUUCUUAUAACUUAGCUCCAUGUUUAUAUUGAGUCCAUUGUUUUGUAUUAGUUAGGCCACCGGGUCAGGCCCAUUAUUCAUAAGAGGAGUCCCUCAUUUUUGUAACCAGAUUGACAUUUCUCAAUGUAGAAAAGAUCUGCUUUCUCCCGAACCUUUUCUCAACCUAUGAACCCUACUUUACAUUUUGUCAAUCUCUCUAUAAAUUUUGAUAAUUUACAUGGUAUUAGAGCAUAGAUUCUGGUAGAUCGUAUCAUUAGCUUCUGAUCGAUGUUAACCUCUUCAGUUUUCAUCGAGUUUUUUUUCGUUUGGACUGCAUUCGCACUAGAUUAUGGUUUUGUUUGGUUUUUGUUAGAUGAUUUCUUCUCAUUAUCGUCCGUCUCUGCUGGAUUUUACUAUUUCUCUGGAUAUUUGACUGUACUUGGCUGAUUUGCUCAUCUGAUUCGAGCUAGGGUUUUCUCGUCGGUGUUUAGCUGAGCCGCCGAAAGUUCGAUAACAAGGAUGUUCUCUUUUCGGUUGCAAAAUAGGGGGUACACCAGUUCUCUCUUCAUAUUUCAUAAAUUUGUUUGUUGAAUUGCUGACUGUUUCUUAUUGAUAUACUUCCUCUCAAUGACGAAUGAUAAUCCUGCAAUUACACAUUCUUCUUCCUCUACUGCAUCUCGUACUAUAUUUCACGAAGAUGAUUUUAUACAUCCAUGUCAUCCAUUAUAUGUACAUCCAUCAGAUGUGCUGGGAACCUCUUUGGUAUCUAGUCCAUUUGAUAGAAGCUGCUAUGGCAGCUGAAGGGAGAAACAUCUUGGUUGCUCUCUCCAUUCAUAAUAAACUUGAUUUUAUCAAUGGCACCUCUACAAAGCCACUUCCAGGAUUUCCUCUGUCAAGUCAAUGGCAACGGUGUAAUGAUCUUGUAGUGUCAUGGUGGGUUAAUUCCUUGUCAAAAGAAAUAUCUCAUAGCGUAGAAUACUCUGAAUAUGCUAAAGAUAUUUGGUGUGAAUUGGAGGAGAGAUACAGUAAGGCUGAUGGGGCCAGAGUUUUUGAGCUAAAGAAAGAAUUAGCACAUAUCUCUCAAGGGUCUUUAGACAUAGCUUCUUACUUUAAUAAAAUCAAAUAACUCUGAGAUGAAAUAGCUUCUUAUAAGGUUAGAGUUUGUAAUUGUGAGGGUAAGGCUGUUGAAGAUGAAGAGCAGAAGGUUUAUCAGUUCCUUAUGGGUAUGAAUGAUACCUACAUGCAAACUCGCAACAACAUUUUAAUGAAGAAACCACUUUCCUCUGUUGGAAAUGUGUACAACAUCUUAUUAUAUGAUGAGAAGCAUAGGCAGGUGUCUUCUGCCUCCCAAUUUUCCACAGUCUGCUUCAUUCAAUGUUGGGACUUCUAAGCCAUCAUUUCCUUCCAAGGUUUCUUUUGAGGCUCCCAAGUCUUCUCUCAUCUGCAAAUAUUGCAAGAAACCUAGGCAUUCUAUAGACAAAUUCUAUAAAUUACAUGGAUAUCCUCCCAAUUUCAAGUUCAACAAAGGACCUCCCCCUCACAGAACUACUGCACAUGUUGAGCUUGAAUCUUAUGGUGGCUCUUCUGUGCCUUGUGGUUCUGAUGGUCCUAUUGAGAAUAAGUAGUCCUUUGUGAUACCUGGUCUUACCAAGGAUCAAUACUCUCAAGUGAUGAUCUAAUUACAAUAAUCCCAAAUCUCUCCUUCCCCACAUUUUCCACCUCUCUUGGCUUUUGCUAACUUUGCUGGUAAGCUUAUGCCUUAUGAGUGUGUUUCUUAUGGAGCUUGUAUGUUGUCUAGUAUGAAUGGAAUUGUUUGGAUAAUAGAUUUUGGAGCUACUGAUCAAAUGACUUCCAUCAGGAGUUUACUUUUUGAUAUAAUCACUCUUCUUAUUCCUUAUCUUGUGUCUCUUCCAAAUGGGUAUAAAGUAAAGGUUACCAAUGUUGGUUCUUUAGCUUUAUUUUCUGAUUUAAUUCUUCAUAAUGUUCCUUACAUCCCUAGUUUUAAACAUAAUCUCAUAUAUGUUCACAAGCUUUUGUCUUAUUGUGAUGAUGUUGUACAGUUUACCAAGUCUGCUUGCACUUUCCAGGGCCCUUCAGUGAGGAAGCCAGUGGUGCUUGAUAGACUGGACAAUGGACUUUACAAGUUGUUCCAACAUGUCACUUCUCUUGUUGAAUCUGUUAAUGUCAAUUCUUAUUCUUCUAUUGCUUGUUCUCUACAUGUAGUGUCUAAUAAUGUUGCUAUUGACAAUUCAUCUGUAAAUAGCAUGGUUGAUUCAAAUAAAAUGAAUAAAUCUGAUGUUGUUUGGCAUUAUAGAAUUGGACAUAUUCCCUUUCAAAAUAAAACUUAUUUCUGGUCUUGAUUGUAGACUAUCAUCCAAACAGUCUUUCAUAUGUCCCAUUUGCCCCUUAGCAAGACAAACUGGGCUCCCUUUUCCUGAUAGUCUAUUCAGUUCACUCACCCUUUUCAGUUUGUACAUAUAGAUACUUGGGGUCCCUACUCUACUCCCACUCAUUCUGGUUCUAAAUACAUUCUUACUACAAUAGAUGACUAUACUAGGGCUACCUGGACACAUUUGAUGGGAGCAAAGAGCAAUGCUUUUGAUUUGUUAAAACCUUUCAUCUUUAUGGUUGAAACACAGUUUCAAACUAAAGUACAGACUGUGAGAAGUGAUAAUGCUUUAGAGUUAGGCUCCAAUUCCUCUGGUUCUCUUUUCUUCUCUGAAAAAGGGGAUCAUUCAUCAAACUUCUUGUCCUCAUAUCCCUCGACAAAAUGAUGUAGUUGAAAGGAAACAUAGACAUUUGUUAGAGACUGCCAGGGCUCUUUUAUUUCAAUCCCACCUUCCUAUUAAAUUUUUGGGUGAUUGUCUUCUUACUGCUACUUACCUGACAAAUAGAUUUCCUUCACCACUUCUCAAACACAAGAGUCCCUAUGAGUUACUAAAUUCUCGUCUCAGAUCCUUUGGCUGCCUUUGCUACUCAAUUGUGCCCAAACCUCAUAGAGACAAGUUUCAUCCUAGGUCUAUCUCAUGUGUGUUUAUUGGCUAUCCUUUUGCCAAAAAGGUUAUAAACUUUACAAUUUGUCCACUAAAUCAUUUUUGUCUCCAGAGAUGUGACUUUUCAUAAGCACGUCUUUCCUUUCUCAAAAUCUUUUGUUCCCUCAUCUCUUGGCAUACCUUCUUCCUUUGUUCCUAGUCACUUUUCUGAUGAUUCGCAUUCUCCCCUAUCUCCUCAUGUUCCUGUUUCUUCUCCCCAGUCCUCUCUCGUCUCUACUCCUCCUUCUCCUUCCUCAGGUUCCCCUGAUUUCAUUUUCUCUCCUUUCUCUAGCUCCUCUUCCCAUUCUGUUCUUCCUUCAUCUCCUCCUCAAAUUACAAGAUCUAGUAGGGCUCAUACUAUUCCUGCUUAUUUUUAGGAUUAUGUAUGUCCUACCCUUCCUCCUUCUGCGUCUCUCCUUGCUCCUUCUAGUUCUGAGUCUCUUUCCUUCAAUGCCACUACUAUACAGCUCCACAACCCUGAACCUUACACUUACUCUCAGGCUGCUGCUAUCCCUGAGUGGUAGGAUGUUAUGAGAAAGGAGUUUGACGCUUUGGAGGCUAAUAGAACUUGGGAUAUUAUUGAGUUACCCCCGAUAAAAAGCCUAUAGGCUGCAAAUGGGUAUACAAAGUAAAAUAUAGAGCUGAUGGGAGUCUGGAAAUGUAUAAGGCCAGGUUGGUAGUUAGGGGUGAUACCCAGGUUGAGGGGGUUGAUUUUCAUGAAAUAUUUUCUCCUUUGUUAAAAUGUCCACUGUGAAAUCUUUAAUUAUUGUUGCUGUCAAGCAACAUUGGCCUCUAUUUCAACUUAAUGUUAAUAAUGCAUUCUUACAUAGGGAUCUUGAUGAGGAGGUUUUUAUGAAGGUACCUCCUGGAUUAUCUAUUCCUCCUUCUUGUUCUUCUCCUUUUCCUUUGGUUUGCAAGCUACUUAAGUCCCUCUAUGAUUUGAAACAGGCUUCCAGACAAUGGUAUGCUAAAUUAUCUCAGGCCUUUUGUUCUAGGGGAUAUUCUCAUUCUUUAAAUGAUCACUCCCUAUUUACUAGGGGUUCUAGGACUUCAUUGGUCAUUUUACCUGUGUAUGUGGAUGAUAUCAUCCUUAUUGGGACUGAUUUGUCUGAGAUUUCUUUCGUAAAAGGCUUUAUGUAUGAAUAGUUUAGAAUUAAGGACCUUGGUUCUCUUAAGAGGUUCUCUAUUCUGAUUCUGGGGUUCUUCUUCAUCAAAAGAAGUUUGUUCAUGACUUAUAGGAUUUUUUGCUUCUUCUGCAGUCGUUUGUCUUCUUGCUCUUAAUGAGAAACUGAAGGUUUCUGUUGGUGAGCCUUUGCCCAAGCCUGAAGAGUAUAGGUGCUUGGUAGGUAAGUUGAAACUCUUGACCCAUACAAGGCCUGAUAUUAGCUUUGUCGUUCAGCAUCUCAACCAGUUCUUGCAGACUCCUUGUGUUCCCCAUAUAUAUGCUGCUUUACACUUGUUGAGUUAUUUGAAGGACAUUUUUGAUUUUGGACUUUUCUUCAGUAAUUCACCUGAUCUUUCCUUGAUGGUAUACUUUGAUAGUGAUUGGGCUUCUUGUGCUGAUAGUAAAAGAUCUGUGACUGGUUUCUGUGUUUUCCUUGGUGAUUGUUUGGUGAGCUGGAAAUCCAAGAAGCAGUCUAUGGUCUCUCUUUCCUCUGUUGAAGCUGAGUAUAGGUCCAUGAGUAAAGCUGCAGCUGAGGUCACUUGGCUUUCCAUGUUAUUAUCAGAUUUUGGUCUUCCUUCUUCUUCUCCCAUCCCUUUGUAUUGUGAUAAUCAGGCAGCUUUGCACAUUGCCCGCAACCUAGUAUUUCAUGAGCAGAGUAACCAUAUAGGCUGGACUUUCAUUUCUUCAGAGAAAAAAUUGGUGAUGAGUUGAUCAGCUGAUCAACUAGGGUCAUGUCUCCAGUAAUGCUCAAGCUGCUGAUAUUCUUACCAAGGCCCUUCCUAGGCCUGCUCAUCAUUUUCAUCUUCGCAAGUUGGGGUUUUAUUACCCUCCAACUUAAAGGGGGCUGUUAGAAUAUUAGAUAAAGGCUAAACUAUUUGGGCCAUUCUUCUAACUUAGGUCCAUGUCUAUAUUGAGUCUAUUGUUUUGUAUUAGUUGGGCCACCGGGUCAUGCCCAUUAUUUAUAAGAGGAGUCCCUCAUUUUUGGAACCAGAUUGACAUUUCUCAACGUAGAAAAUAUCAACUUUCUCUCGAACCUUCUCUCAAUCUAUGAACCCUAGUUUACUUUUGGUCAAUCUCUCUGUAAAUCUCGAUACUUAAUAUACUUCUAUGUAAUACUAUAAAUAAAGAAUGAGAAAUGAUAUUGUACACACUUGAAAAGAAUUGGAAAACACUUGAUGAAAUAAGAAACUUCUCUCUUUCCUCUCUUUAUCUCUUGUUUAUUUUCUUGGUUAUAUUGUUACUUUGAGCUCAGUUUCUUAACACAACCAUGUGCUCUUGUCCAUUUUCUUUUAUUGGUUGUUCUUUUUCAUUUUUACAUAGAUAAUAAUAUCGAGAUCUUAGUCCAAUAACUGGUCAAUAUAAUCGUUUAAAUUCGAUAAGAAUAAUUUUCAUGAUACACGAAAUAAAAUAUUGCACUUUGUGUGUCGUAUAUGCUUUUUAGUGUCUAAAAAAACGAAUAAAAAAUUAAAUGAGUAGAUGAGCAGUAUCAUUGUAGCAAUAAUUUUUUUGUGUGAAAAUAAGUGCAUACUAGAAAAAAAUAAAUGUAUGGAUUUCAAAAAAUAUAUCUAAUACCAGUAUUCUAGAUCUGCCUUUAGUCUACAUCUGGACCCACGUGUUAUAGUAAUAAGUGCCUAAGUAGAUCAGCCCUCUAAGUCCCUAACCUUUAUCUAUAUCAUCAUUACAAGUUAGCUUCGAUCAUCGAAUUUGAAGUUUGUUUUCAUAUAUAUUGAGUUUCAAUGGUUAUGUCAAUAAAUCAGUCAUCACGAAUUUUGAUCAAGUCAAGACGGGUUAAGUAAACAUAGGUAAAAUAAUGAGCUAUAACUCUACUUUUUCUACUUAACUUUCCGAAUUGGAUGACGAAAACAAAAGUUCACCAAUUGGACGAGUUUUAUUUUACCAAGCGAAUUUACACUUCAAGAUGUCAAAUGAGUAGCUUGAGUUAGCAAUGAUAACACAUUAAAAAAGGUGAGUCUUUAUAGAGUCAUGACUCAACUCGUUCAAUAUUUCCGCGGGUUGAUUUAAUAAACAACGAGUCAUAACCGCUUGCCCAACUCAAGUUUGGGCCGAUUCAGCAAUUUGUAUUUGAAAAACUACCAGCUAUGUCCAUUUAUAAGUAGCUUAUUAUAAAAUUUGGUCAAUUCAAAAAAUAUUGCUAAUAUUAGCUAAAUAUUACUAAUAUUAGCCAAUUAGCUAUCUGUAAUAAAAAUAUUAAAUUUUUGCUUUCUCUUGAGUGAGUGCUAUUAGAAUGUAUUGGGUACAUCUUAAGGAGUUUGAAUCUCGAUUUUGGCAUGAUUUGGUAGAGUUUUGAGGUAGUUUGAAUUAAAAAUUCAAAAUUGUAAUGAGCCGGCCGGCCGUUUUAAAAGUUGUAGCUCUGUUUCUCCAUUUACUGCUCAUUUUAUACUUUUCAGUUGUUAUGUGACUUGCCGGGGUAGUCGGUUCGGGCUCGGAGGAAUUUCAGAAUAAAUUGAGAUACUUAGUCUCAAGGUUGGAAGCUUAAGUUGAAAAAAUUGACCGGAUGUUGACUUAUAUGUAAAAGACUCCUAAAUAGAGUUUUGAUGGUUCUAUCAGCUCCGUCGGGUGAUUUUGGACUUAGGCGCGUGUCCGGAUAGUGAUGUGGAGGUCCGUAGUUGAACUAGGCUUGAAAUGGUAGAAAUAAGAAAUUUGGAAGUUUGACCGAGAGCGGACUUUGUGGUUACCGGGCUCGGAUUUGGGUUCUGGGAGUUGGAGUAGGUCCGUGGUAUUAUUUGUGACUUGUGCACAAAAUUUGAGGUCAAUCAGACGUGAUUUGAUAGGUUUCGGCAUCGUUUGUAGAAAUUGGAUUUCCUUAGUUUCAUUAGGCUUGAAUUGGGGUGUGAUUCAUGUUUUUGAUACUGUUUUGAUGUGAUUUGAAGGCUCGAUUAAAUUCGUAGCAUGAUUUAGGACUUGUUGGUAUAAUUGAUUGAGGUCUUGGGGCCUCGGGUUGAUUUCGGAUGGUUAAUGGAUCGUAUUUAGAGUUUGAAAGAUUGUUGAAGCUGGAAGUCUUCUGGUACAAUCGCACCUGCUGUAAUGACCCGACCGGUCAUUUUGAGCAUUUGCACUUCGCUCGCUAGUUCUCGGGCAUGACUAGCCUCAUAUGAUAUAUUAUGACUUAUAUAAAUCAUCGAUUUUGGUUUUCAGGAUAAUCGGAAUAGAUUUGGAAGAACAAUUCUCAGCUUGAAGCUUUAAAUUUGAAAUGUUUGACCAAGGUUUGACUUUUUAGUAUUCAAUCUUGGAUUUAGUUAGCUCCGUCGGAUGAUUGUGGACUUAGGAGCGCGUCCGGAAUGGAAUUUGGAGGUUCGUGAUAGAUUUAGGCUUGAAUUGGCGAAAUUGAAAAUUUGGCAUUUCCGGUUGGUAGUGGAAAUUGUGAUAUCCUGGUCGGAAUAGAAUUCCGGAAAUUGGAGUAGGUCCGUUGUGUCAUUUAUGACGUGUGUGCAAAAUUUUAGGCCAUUCGUAUGAGGUUUGAUAGACUUUUUGAUUAUUUGCGGGAUUCAGAAGUUUUGGAAACCUUAGGCUUGAAUCCGAGGGUGUUUUGAUGAUUCGAUGUUGUUUAAAGUGUUUCGAAGAUUGGUAUAAGUUUGAACAGUGGUAUACGACUUUUUCGUACUUUUGGUUGAAGUCCCAGGGGGCCUCGAGAUGAUUUCGUAUAGUUAUCGGGAAGUUAGAAGUUAGAGUUUGCAGCUGAAGCUGCUGAGUUCCUAUCAUAACCGCACCUGCAGAUUGAGGACCGCAGGUGCGAGAUUGUAGAAGCGUGAGAUUAGCCGUAGAUGUGGCCAUAUGAGAGAAGGCCAGAAAUCACAGGUGUGGGAGGUGUAACGUACCUGCGAGACCGCAGGUGCAGGAAGAUAAGUGCAGGUGCGGUCCCAGGACAUUAAGUGUAAAACGCAGAUGCGGUUGGUUAGACCGCAGAAGCAUGAAAAGGACCGCAGGUGCGGAAUCCCUGGGUCAGAAAGUAUAUAAGUUCCCCUUCGCGAAAUUUGGGUUGUUUUCCACCAUUUUUAUCUAGAGUUGAAGCCUUUUGGAGGUUUUUGAAGAGAUAAUCAAGGGGGUUUCCAUUGAGGUGAGUUUCUUGAAUCUAAAACUCGAUUCUAUGUUGAUUUUCAGUUGUUUAAGCAUGAAAUUUAGGAGAUUAAAGGUGAAAAAUUAGGGAAGUUAGGGCUUGAAGUUGGAGAGGUAAAAUUGGGGAUUUGAGGGGCCAUUUGAGGUACGAUUUCGAUGUUCUUGGUAUGCAUGGACUCGUGGGAGGAUAAGGAUUCUAUUGAUGUGAUUUUUAUCAGAUUCCGAGAGGUGGGCCCGGGGUUGGGUUUGACCAAGUUCGGGAUUUUUGAUGUAAUUUGAUUAUUUUCGCAUAAGCUUCGUUCCCUUAUCAUAUAUUGAUGUUAUGCUUCUGAUUUUGGAUAGAUUCGACGCGAGUUAAGGCUGAAUCGAGAGGCAAGGGCAUCGCGGAGUAGUAUUUCAUUCGAUUUGAGGUAAGUAAUGAUUGUAAAUGUUGUCCUAAGGGUAUGAAACCCCGGAUUCACUUCGUUUCACUAUAUUGAGGUGACGCACACGCUAGAUGACGAGCGUUGGGACGUGCACCGUUGGGGAUUGUGACUUGGUCCGUCCCGUAUGACUGUUAAGUCACGUACUUGAUUGAAAACUGUUUGAUAUCAUUGUGUUUUGGAAAGUAUUGCUAUAUUUUGGGUGGAAUGCCAUAAUUGGGCCUCGUGCCAACUGUUUUGGGUUGAACGCCCUGUUUUACUGAUAGCCCGAGCGGCUUGAGAGGUUGAUGAUUGAGAGAGGCCGAGGGCCUAGUUGUGAGGAUUAUAUAUUAUGGAUUGGGCUGCAUGUCGCAGCGAUAUAGCACUUGGGUUGUAGGAGCCCCUUCGGAGUCUGCACACCCCAGUGAGCACAGUCGACUAUAUAUAUGGAUCGAGCUGCACGCCGCAGCGGUUAUUAUAAGGUACCUAUUGAGCGUGAGUGCUGAGUGUGAACGCUGAUUGAUGAGAGUUGAGUCAUGAGUGAUUGAGAGGCUUGCCCGGGGGGCUAUAUAUACACAUAUAAGAGUGAUGUUUUGUCUGAGGGGCUUGUUUAUGAAAUUACUGUUUUCACUCGUCCUUAAAGUGAGUCUCUAUUGAAUAUGUUAAUUAAACUACUGAUUUCACUUAUCUUUAUACUGAGCCUCUAUUUAAAAUGUUAAACAAAUGUUUUAAACAACAUUCUUUUAAACUGGAGUUUUUACGAGAUGUUCAGAAAUUUAAUCACUGAUUUGGCUUAUUAUUUCCACUGAGAUUUUUAAGUUAGGAGAUGUUUAUGAAUUCCCGUUUGCCCGAGGAACUGUAUACGAACUAUGUUUUGCCCGAGGGGCGAUUAUAAUUUUUCAUCACUUUCACUAUAAAUUACAUUGAACCUCUAUUGAAAUGGUUAGAAAGACAUUUUUCAAAGGAUUUUACUGAAGUCGGAAUUUAACGAGAUGAUUUGAUUUGUACCCUGUUUCGGAAGCAUAUUGUACUCACUGUGGUGCUAUGACGUGGUUUACGUGAUUUCUUACUGCUCAGUCUUUAUUUACUUUUAUUACUUACUGAGUUGGCGUACUAACAUUACUCCCUGCACCUUAUGUGCAGAUCUAGGUAUUUCUGAUCUCGGUGGCAGGUUCAUCGAAGUUAGCAAGGUAGCUGGCUGGCGAUCGCAGCCCUACUUUCUCCUUUCUUAUUCUCCCUUAGUGUAUUUUUGUGAUUUUUUCCUGACCAUGUUGGUCUUGAGGUUGUCAGACAGUUAUAGUAGAUUCUCAUGACUAGUGACCCCCCCUCCUGAUGUCUGGCCUUCAUUCUGCACUGUUAUUUUGUUUUAAACACUAUAUAAAGGUUUAUUGCUAAAAAGAUUGACUUUAUCCUAAGAAUGGGAAAUACUGAUUGGUUUUGGAUUUGUGUCGACUAGCCUUGUUCCAUGAUAGACGCCAUCACGACCAGGUUGGUUUUGGGGUUGUGACACCUGCGGAGUUUUGGUGCAUGUGCGAGCAAGGGAGCGCAGGUGUGGCCAUGGGAGGACUGUGCAAUGAUCGCAGGUGCGGAAGGAGCUCCGCAGAUGCGGAUUCGCAUCUGCAUAAGUUUGAUCGUGGAAGCGGAUUAGGCUAGGCAGCAGGGGUGUUGCAAAUGCGAGUAAGGCUCGCAAAUGCGAUCCCGUAAGUGCGAGACUAGGACCACAGAUGCGGUAGGUUGUCGGCUGAGUGAAUUCCACAAAAGCGCAAUUUUGUCUGCAAAAGCGGAUGCACAGGUGUGAGACCAGGCUCCGCAGGUGUGGAAAUGCCUGGGCAACGUUUUAAAACGAGGGUUUCCGGGAUUUUCACCAUUUUAAACAGUUCAAGCUCUGGAUUGGGCAAUAUUUGAGAGAAUUUUCGAGGGGUUUCUUGAGGUAAGUCACUUGUACUCAUUUUUGUUGGAUAAUCUUGUUUCCCCAUUGAAUUUCCCACCUAGUUUGUGAAUAUUUAAGGUGAAAUUUGUGAGUUUGAGGCUAGGGAUUUGGAGAGUUUGAUUUGGGGAUUUGGGUGGCGAUUUGGUGUCUGAUUUUGUGACUUUUGACGGAUUUCGAGACGUGAGCCCGGGGGCCGAUUUUUUAGUCAACUUUUGACUUUUGAUUAAUAACUUAGUGUGUUUCUUAUGUAAUUAAUUCCUUUAGCUCGUGUUGAUUAUAUUGAACUGUUUGUGGCUAGAUUCGGGGCAUUUGGAGGCCGAUUCACGAGGGAAGCGCGUGUUAGAAUAGGGAUUUAUACGUAUUGAGGUAAGUAACAGUUCUAAAUUUGGUUCUGAGGGUAAGAAACCAUGUAUUAUGUGUCAUGUCAUUAGUUUUGAGGUGAUGCGCAUGCUAGAUGACAGGCGUGUGGGCGUGCACCGUAGGAAUUUUGACUUGGUCAAUUCCAUGGAACUGUAUAAUUGAAUAAUCUAUUGUUAUCCGUAUAUUCUCCAUGUGUUAUAGAAAUUGAACUGCAAAUCAUGUUAGAAAUCAUAUUUAGGCUAUGUGUUUGUACCGUAGGGACACACAGAGGCCAUGUUACAAGUUAAAUUUUCUGCUAAAUUGUUGUUUUGUACUUAGUCACAGUUUUACCUCCAUAUUAUAACUCAGUCUCUAUUGUUCUUUUAUUGAUACAUUAUAUCAUCACUGUUUGGGCUGAUUAUCAUGAUUAUUGAGAUCCCGAGAGACAGGAGAUAUUGAUGACUGAGUGAAGCCGAGAGCCUGAUUGUGAAGAUACUUAUGGGAGCGGACUACACCCCGCAUCAUGUUUUAUUGAUUUAUGUCAUGAUUGACUUGUUAUGGCGCUUGGGCUGAAGAAGCCCUCCCCCCCCCCCGGAAUUUAUACAUUCCCCCAGUGAGCGCAGGUACCUACUGAGUGCGAGUGCCGAGCGACUGGGAGGAAUGAAAGACUAUGAGGAAUGAGUAACUGUGAGGUUGGAGUGAAUGGGAGGACUAUUGCUCUGAGAUUAUUCACUUGAUUUCAUUACUGUUGUACUUCAGCUGGCAUAUAUCACUAUCAUGUAAUUUCUAGAAAUAUUAUAUCCUGUUUCAAUUGAACUUGACAUGAAUUAACUAUUUUGGCCUUAAAUGUCAAACUUGAAAGCAUGCUUAUCGUCCUAUGUUGUAAUUUCUGUAAUUGAACUAUAUCUGUGAAGUUCGUCACUACUUUCAGUCCAUUAUUUAGUCUUGUUACUAGUUGGUUGUACUCACGCUAUACCCACACUUCCUGCGCAGAUCCAGGUGUUUCAGGACACUGUGGGUGUUCACUCUCUGUGCAGCUUGAUUGUUUGGAGAUUCCAAGGUAGUUGCCCGGCAUUCGCAGACCUUGUCUCUCCUUUCCUAUCUUUUAGCUUUAUGUAUUCAGUUUUACUCUUUCAUAGACAAUAUUUCUAGACUUGUGUUAUAUAGACGCUCAUAUACUUAGUGACACCCUGAUGUUGGAAAUUUCCGUAUUAGGUUUUGACCUUCUAUCCAGUUUUUGAGAGUUUUGAUGAUUUAAACAUGUGUUAUUUAAAUUUUCAUUUAAAAAGUGUUGGAAGUAUUUUGAAGUGUCGGCUUGCCUAGUACUACGUUAGACGUCAUCAUGAUAGGCUAAGUUUUGGGUCGUGACAGAAGUAAAAGAUGAACAUGAAAAAAAUAUGUGUAUCACACUAUGUAUUAUUUAUGUAUCACAUAUGUAUCAUAUUUGUAUCAAUUAUGUAUCACAUGUAUAUCCAUGUAUACUUGUGUGUGUGAUACAUGUUUGAUAUAUGUGUCGCAAAUAUUUUCCAAUUUUCUCAUUUUGAUUGGCUUAAAUAUUUUGGAAAAUAUUUUUUUUAUGAACUCAUUUUCCUCCAAUUGGAGGAAAAUAGUUUCCUUAUCAAGAGAAGGGUAAAUAUUUUUCAAAACUCCUUCUCAACCUUCCCCACCCACCCAACUCCACCCCACCCCCUCUCUCCAAAAAGACUUUUUUUUUCAAAUUUUAGUUUUUUUCCCGUCACCACCCACAAUGCUACCUCCCCUUCCCCCGCAAAUUUUUUUUUAUAUAUAUUUUCAAAUUUUAGUUUUUUUCCGUCACCACCAAAAAUGCUACCCCCCCCCCCCCCCGUGCAACAAAAAAAGUUUUUUUAUUUAUAUAUUUUCUGUCACGACAGGGAAUUUCCACCAACGGGACCGUGAUGGCGCUUAACAUCACACUCGCUAGGCAAACCAAUGUUAGAGAUUUAUUAACCAUUUUCCUUUACCAUUCAUUGAAUAAAAAUAAACAAGUUAAAACAAGUGAUCAUAACUGCGGAAGUAAGUAAAACACUGCUUUAUAUAUAAACUAUUGCCAGAACUAUUACUACUACUACCACCCAGAAACUGGUGUCACAAUCCAUGAACAUACUGUGAAUUACUACAAAUAUUGGUCUGAAAGAAAAAACAGAAAUGUAGAAUUGUAGAAGGGGACGCCAGAGCCUGCGGACGCCAACAGGACUACCUUGGGUCUCCAAACUGUGGACCUGCAGCCAAUCUCUCAAUCAGCCACUGCUUGCUCCGAAAUCUGCACAGAAAGUGCAGAGUGCAGUAUCAGUACAAUCGACCCCAUGUAGUGGUAAGUGCCGAGCCUAACCUCGACAGGGUAGUGACGAGGCUACGGCGGGGCAAUUACAAUAUAUCCUGCAUAUAGUAAAAGCGAAAAAGAAGUACGGUACAAAAUAAAAUAGUAACUUGCAACAAAAAUGAAUACGGAACUCAAAUAUCUUAUCAGUACCAACUAUAACCAAUCCUUAAGUGAUAUAAAACACUACAGAGUAACUUCACAACCGAAGAAGGAUACAUAAACAAUAAACUGAUGCGGUGCGUAUCCCGAUCCCACUAUAUAAUAACAUUUCACCAUUAUUCCUCCUCAAUAUAUCACCCUUAUUCCUCCUGUUGUGGCGUGCAACCCGAUCACACCAUAUCAGUGCCAAUAGAAUAAGAAGAACAAAACUUUCACAAUAUGGCUCAAAACUCCCACAAUAUUUAACCUCAACUAAAACAAACGGAAAGCGGUAAAAUUAUGAAACUUCACUCGAACUAUACUACUCAGCGAGACCAAUCCAAAGUAUACUAAUAAACACUGAUAAAUAGUUUAAACCAAUAAUAUGAAACGAUGAACUUUUAACAAUGAAAGCAGUAUCCGACAAGUAGCAACUAAUCAUAGAAAUAUCAAAUAGACAGGUAGCAAUUAAGGCAGGAUAAAUUAAGCACGGGAAUGGAACAGUCAAAUAGAUAAAUUGGCGGCGCAUUCGUCACCUCACCUAUAAGCCACACAUAUGGAAUUUUACAUAGCAAUUAAGUCGGGGAUCCCUAAUCCCUCGAGUCAAAGUUAGAUCAAACACUGACCUCAAUCCAACGGACAACUCAAAGCUCAAUUACGCCUUUUCCUUUAGUUUCCACCCCCGAACCACUCGUAUUUAGUCAUAACUAACUUAAUAACAUCAAUUAUCGCUAAGGAAAUCAAUUUUAAUACAUAAUUAUAAGUUUCUCAACAUUUCUUCCAAAAAGUCAAAAAUCGACCCCGGGCUCGCUUGGUCAAAACUAGAGGUUCGGACCAAAACUCAUUCACCCAUUCACCCCCGAGGCCGAAUAUGUAAUUAGUUUCGAAAUCCGACCUCAAAUCGAGGUCUAAAAUACAAUUAUACAAAAAUUCCUAAUUCUACCCAAACCCCCAAUUUUCACCAUGAAAUCCCUAAAUUUUUGGUUAAAUUCUUUUAGAAUGAAGUAAAAGAUUGAAAGAAACAAGUUAGGAAUCACUUACCUAUGAUUUGGGGAAGAAUUGAUCUUUGAAAAAUUACCUAGAGGGUUUCUUGUGUUUGGAAGUUUUGAAUAAUGAGAAAAAUCCAGUCUAAGCCAAGACUUAUCAGCUGCAGAUGUCGCAUCUGUGACCUGUGCUUCGCAUUCGCGAAGCUCGCAAAUGCGAACUCCCUCGCAUUCCUGCAAUCAUCGCAAAUGCGAAGUUCCAGUCGCAAAUGCGAACUUGGAUUUCCGCAUCGUAUGGGCCUUUUUCUUUGCGAGCCAGACUUCGUAUUUGCGAGAUCUUCAUACCUGAAGCACACCAGCAAAUUUUCUUAAUUCCAAAUCACUCUUUAGCCUAUCCAAAACUCACUCAAGCCUUCGAGGUUCCAAACCAAACAUGCACAGAAGUCUUAAAACAUUAUACGAACUUGCUCAUACGAUGAAAUCGCCAAAAUAACAACAAGAUUAAACAUUACCAAAAUUCUUUAAACCAUUAUAAUUUCAGUCUUAUAAUUUUCAUCAAAAAUUCAUUUCUCAGGCUAAGGACCUCGAAAUUCGAUUUCGGGCAUACGCCCAGGUCCUAUAGUUUGCUACGGACCCACCGGGACCAUCAGAAUACCGGUCCAGGUCUAUUUGCUCAUAACAUUGUCCGAAGUCAAUUAAUUAACUUUUUAGGCCAAAAAUUAUUAUUUCAUAAAUUUUCCAUAUAAAAGCUUUCCGGAAUCACGCCCAGACUAUGCACGCAAAUCGAGGAGCGAUAAAAUAAGGUUUUUAAGGACUCGAAACACAUAAUCGAGUUCUAAAACAUAAGAUGACCCUUUGGGGCAUCACAUUCUCCACCUCUAAAACAAUUGUUUGUCCUCGAACGGACAUAGAAAAGUACCUAAGCUGUUGAAAAGGUGGGGAUAUUUUCUCCGCACAUCGGACUCGGACUCCUAGGAGCUGCCUCGACAGGCUGACCUCUCCACUGUACUCAAACCGAAGGAUAACUCUUUGAUCUCAACUGACGAGCCUGUCGGUAUUAAAUGGCUACCGUCUCCUCCUCGUAGGUCAAAUCCCGGUCCAACUGGACAAUACUGAAGUCUAACACGUGGAAUUGAUCAUCGUGAUACUUCCGAAGCAUGGUCAUAUGAAACACUGGAUGUACAACUGAUAAACCUGAUGGCAAUGCAAGUUUAUAGGCCACCUCUCCCACUUGCUCAAGGAUUUUGAAAGGUUCGAUAUACCUAGGGCUUAACUUGCCCUUCUUCCCAAAUCGCGUCACACCCUUCAUGGGUGAUACCCGAAGCAACACUCUCUCUCCGAAGAUGAAUGACACAUUACGAACCUUACGGUCGGCAUAAAUCUUUUGCCUGGACUGAGAUGUACGAAGUCUAUCCUGAAUGAUCUUGACCUUAUCCAGGGCAUCCUGUACCAAAUCUGUACCCAAUAACCUAGCCUCCGUGGCUCAAACCACCAACCGGCAAUCGACACCGUCCUCUAUAAUGCCUCAUAGGGAACCAUCUUGAUGCUGACUGAUAACUGUUGUUGUAGGCAAACUCCGCUAACGACAAGAACUGAUCCCAAGAAAUCCUUCAUGAUCUGAAUAGUACGCUCGGAUUGUCCGUCCGUCUCAGGGUGAAAUGUUGUGCUCAACUCGACCCACGUACCCAACUCACGUUGUACCGCCCUUCAUAAGUGCGAGGUAAACUAUGUACCUCGAUCAGAAAUGAUAGACAUGAGCACCCUAUGAAGACGAACGAUCUCACGGAUAUAAAUCUCUGCCAAUCGCUCCAAAGAAUAGGAAACUACCGCAGGAAUGAAAUGUGUUGACUUGGUCAGUUUAUCUACAAUAACCCAAAGUGCAUCAAACUUCCUCUGAGUCUGUAGGAGUCCAACAACAAAAUCCAUGGUGAUACGCUCCCACUUCCACUCAGGAAUAUCUAUCUUCUGAAGCAAACCACCAGGUCUCUAAUGCUCGUACUUUACUUACAGAUAAUUUAAACACCAAGCUACAUGUUCAACUAUAUCCUUUUUCAUCCUCCUCUACCAACAAUGCUGCCGCAAGUCCUGAUACAUCUUAGCGACGCCCGGAUGAAUAGAAUACUGGGAACUGUGGGCCUCCUCUAGAAUCAACUCAUGAAGUCUAUCCACAUUAGGUACACAAACACGACCAUACAUCCUCAAAACUCCAUCGUCUCCAACCGUAACCUGCUUGGAAUCACCGUGCCGCACUGUGUCCCUAAGGACAAGCAAAUGAGGGUCAUCACACUGCUGAUCCAUGAUGCGCUCAAAUAAAAAAGACAGAGCAACUAUGCAAGCUAAAACACGACUGGGCUCAGAAACAUCCAACCUCACGAACUGAUUGGCCAAUGCCUGAACAUCUAAUGCAAGCGGUUUCUCACCAACUAGAAUUUACACAAGGCUGCCCAUACUAGCUGACUUUCUACUCAAAGCAUCAGCCACCACAUUGGCCUUCCCGGGAUGAUACAAGAUGGUGAUAUCAUAGUCUUUCAAUAACUCCAACCACCUUCUCUGCCUCAAAUUGAGCUCUUUUUGUUUGAACAAAUACUGCAAACUCUUAUGAUCCGUGAACACCUCACACGACAUGCCAUAGAGAUAGUGCCUCCAAAUCUUCAGCACGUGAACAAUGGCUGUCAGCUCCAAGUCAUGAACUAGAUAGUUCUUCUUGUGAAUCUUUAGCUUCCGCAAAGCAUAUGCAAUAACCUUGCCACCCUGCAUCAAUACCGCACUAAGUCCAAUACGAGAUGCAUCACAAUAUACUGUAUAGGGCCCUAAACCCAUGGGCAACACCAACACUGGCGUUGUAGUCAAAGCUAUCUUGAGCUUCUGAAAGAUCGCUUCACACCCGUCUGAUCAUCUGAACGGGGCACCCUUCUGGGUCAACCUAGUCAAUGGGGUUGAUAUAGAUGAAAACCCCUUUAUGAACUGACGGUAAUAACCCGCCAAACCCAAGAAACUACGGAUCUCUGUGGCUAAAGUAGGUCUAGGCAAAUUCUGAACGGCCUCAAUCUUCUUAGGAUCCACCUGAAUACCCACUGCUGAUACAAUGUGACCCAAGAAAGCAACUGAACUCAACCAAAAUGCACAUUUCAAAAACUUAGCAUAUAACUGGUUGUCUCUCAGAGUUUGAAGAACGAUUCGAAGAUGAUGCUCAUGCUCCUCUCAACUGCGGGGGUAGAUCAAGAUAUCAUCAAUAAAAAUAAUCACAAAAGAAUCCAGGUAAGGCUUGAACACCCGGUUCAUCAAAUCGAUAAAUGUUGUUGGGGUAUUUGUCAAGCCAAAUGACUUCACUAGAAACUCAUAAUGCCCAUAUCGAGUCUGAAAAGCUGUCUUAGGGACAUCGGAUGCCCUAAUCUUCAACUGAUGGUAGCCAGACCUCAAAUCGAUAUUUGAAAACACCUUUGCAUCCUAAAGCUAAUCAAAUAAGUCAUCAAUACUUGACAAUGUAUAUUUGUUCUUGAUGGUGACUUUGUUCAACUACCGAUAGUCUAUACACAUCCUCAUCGACCCAUCCUUCUUCUUUACAAACAAUACCGGCGCAGCCUAAGGCGAGACACUUGGUCUAAUAAAGCCCUUAUCAAGCAAAUCUUGAAACUGCUCCUUCAAUUCUUUCAACUCUAGCGGGGCCAUGCGGUAUGGCGAAAUAAAAAUGGGUUGAGUGCCCGGAACCAAAUCAAUACAGAAGUCAAUAUCCCUGUCAGGUUGCAACCCCGGCAGGUCUGCAGGAAAUAGCUUAGGAAAUUCCCGAACAACUGGUACAGAAUCCAUAUAAGGAACCUCCAUACUAGAAUCACGAACAUAAGCCAAAUAACCCAAACACCCCUUCUCGACCAUAUGCCAAGCCUUCAUAUAAGAGGCAACCCUACUGGUAGAAGACCAGGAGUCCCUCUCCACUUCAAUCGAGGCAACCCUGGCAAGGCUAAUGUCAUUAUCUUGGCAUGACAGUCCAAUAUGGAAUGAUAAGGUGACAACCAAUCCAUCCCCAUAAUAACAUCGAAAUCAACCAUAUCGAUAAGUGGGAGAUCUACACUAGUCUUGAGACUCUCAAUAAUAACCACACACGAAUGAUAGACAUGAUCUACAAUAAUAGAAUCCCCCACCGAUGUAGACACAUACAUAGGAGCACUCAAAGAAUCACGAGGCAUAACCAAAUAUGAAGCAAAAUAAGAUGACACAUAGAAGUAUGUAGACCCUAGAUCAAAUAGAAUUGAAGCAUCUCUACUGCAAACUGAAACAUUACCUGUGAUAACAACGUCGGAUGACUCAGCCUCAGGCCUAGCUGGGAAAGCGUAUCAUCGAGGUUGGGCCCCACCAUUCUGAACCAUAUCCCUGGGACGGCCUCCUGCUCGCUGUCCUCCACCUCUAGCAACCUAACCUCUACCUCUAGCGGUCUGACCUCUACUUUUGGCUCCCUGAACCCUACCUCUAGCUAGAUGAGCGGGCAGUGCCGAAAUAAUGGCACGAAAACCUUGCUGCUGUGACUGAACACCCACUAAUCUCGGACAGGUCCAACAGAUAUGCACAUACUCACCACACUCGAAGCAUCUAUCCUGAUACUAUGGCUGUGGAAACUGAGACUGACCCUGACGGGCCGACUGACCGCGAUAAUAACUCUAAAGAGGAGAUGCUCUAAUAGGAGCUGGUGGUGCACUAUAAGCUGGCUGCCCUGAAGGAGGUACAUAAGGACUACGACUCCUUGAAGCUCCAUGGGAUGUCUGAAGUACUGAAUGAAACAGCCUAGGAAGAUGGCCCCUACCAAACGUACCUCGACCACCAGAUGAGGCCACACUAAAUCUACUGGAGUGAUGCGGCCUCUUAUCAGACCCCUGACCACUCCCUUGAGCUAGGACUAUCUCAACUCGUCUGGCCACAUUGGUUGAAUAGAAAGAAAUCUCACUCCAUAUCUCCUUAGCCAUCUGCAAUCUGAUAGGCUGAGCAAGUCCCUCAAUAAACCUCCUCACCCUCUAUCUCUCUCUCUCUGUAGGAAGUAUAAGAAGAGCAUGACGAGCCAAAUCAACAAAUCUAGUCUCGUACUGAGUGACAGUCAUAGAACCCUACUGACGGCGCUCGAAAUGCCUCCGGUAGUCCUCUAUUUGAGUGAUAGGAAGAUACUUCUCCAGAAAUAGUAGAGAUAACUGGUCCCAAGUAAGAGCUGGCGACCCAGCUGAUCUGGCCAAACAAAAAUCCCUCCACCAUUUCUUGGCGGAACCUGAUAGACGAAAGGUAGCAAAGUCGACCCCAUUGGUCUCCACUAUCCCCAUGUUCCGUAAUACCCGUGGCAACUAUCCAGAUAGUCCUGGGGAUCCUCUGAAGGUGUACCGCUAUACUGAGUGGUGAAAAGCUUGGUAAACUUAUCCAAUCUCCACAAAGCCUCAUAAGACAUAGCUGAUCCAUCGUCAGUCUAUGCUACAACUCCUGGCGGAACUACACCAACCAGCUGAGUUGCUGGGGUCUGAAACUGGGGAGCAAUAUGCUCCGGAGUGUGAGUAGCGGGAGUCUGGGCUCCUCCCUCUGCCUGAGAGACGGCUGGUGCUACAUGAAAUGUGCCAAACUGAGCAACACUCUCCAUAAGGCCCACUAGACGGACCAAAGCAUCUUGAAGUAUUGCGGUAGUGAUGAACCCCUCUAGAACCUGAGAUGGCCCUGCUGGAACGGUCUAGGCUGGAGCCUCCUCAUCAAACUCUACCUGAGGCUUCGCUGCUGGUGCUGGUGCUCAAGCUCUGGCUGAGCCCUGCCCUUGCCUCGUCAUCUGCCCCUCGUAGGAGCUGCCAAUGGGGUCUUUGGCUGCUGCUCAGCUGAAAAAGCGGUACGUGUUCUCUCUAUCUACAAAGGAGCAAGAGUAGAGAGGUCAAUUACCAUUGAGAGAUCAAAUCGCACGACGGAGAUGAAUAGAAGUGAAAUUGUUUCUAAACUCUGUAGCCUCUGGGGGAUAAGCACAGACAUCUUCAUACCGAUCCCUCAGACUCUACUAAGCUUGUCCAAAAAUUGUGAGACCUAGGCAACCUAGUGCUCUGAUACCAACUUGUCACGAUCCGGAAUUCCCACCAACAGGACCAUGAUGGCGCCUAACACACACUCGUUAGGCAAGACAAUGUUAGAGAUUUAUUAACCAUUUUCCUUUACAAUUUAUUGAAUAAAAAUAAACAAGUUAAAACAAGUGAUCAUAACUGCGGAAGUAAGUAAAACACUGCUUUAUAUAUAAACUAUUGCCAAAACUAUUACUACUCCCAGAAACUGGUGUCACAAUCCACGAACAUACUAUGAUUACUACAAAUAUUGGUCUGAAAGAAAAACAAAAAUGCAUAAAUGUAAAAGGGGACGCUAGGGCCUACGGACGCUAAUAGGACUACCUUGUGUCUCCAAACUAUGGACCUGCAGUCAAACACUCAAUCAGCCACUGCCUACUCCGAAAUCUACACAGAAAGUGCAAAGUGCAGUAUCAGUACAACCGACCCCAUGUAUUGGUAAGUGUCGAGCCUAACAUCGACGAGGUAGUGACGAGGCUACGGUGGGGCAAUUACAAUAUAUCCUGCAUACAUUAUAUAAUUAAGCGAAAAAGAAGUACAGUACAAAAUGAAACAGUAACUUGCGACAAAAAUGAAUACGGAACUCAAAUAUCUUAUCAGUACCAGUUAUAACCAAUCCUUAAGUGAGACACAACAUUAUAGAGUAACUUCACAGCAGAAGAAGGAUACAUAAACAAUAAACCGAUGCGGCGCGCAUCCCGAUCCCACUAUAUAAUCAGUAACAGUAUGAACAUUCACCCUUAUUACUCCUUAUCAAUCCACUCUUAUUCCUUCUGUUGCAGCGUGCAACCCGAUCCCACCGUACAAUAGUAAUUCACCCUUGUUACUCCUCAAUAUAUCACCUUUAUUCCUCUUGUUGCGGUGCGCAACCCGAUCCCACCAUAUCAGUGCCAAUCAUACAAUAAGAACAUAAAUUUCACAAUAUGGCUCAAAACUCCCCAUAAUAUUUAACCUCAACUAAAACAAACGGGAAGCUGUAAAAUUAUGAAACUUCACUCGAACUACACUACUCAACGAGAUUAAUCCAAAGUAUACUAAUAAACACUGAUAAAUAUCUUAAACCAAUAAUAUGAAACGAUGAAACCACGUAAUGUCCAAUACUUUUAACAAUGAAAGCUAUAUCCGAGAAGUAGCAACUAAUCAUGGAAAUAUUAAAUAGACAGGUAGCAAUUAAGGCAGGGAACAAUAAAUUAAGCACGGGAAGGGAACAAUCAAACAGAUAAAUUGGCGGCGCAUAGGUACUCGUCACCUCACCUAUACGUCACACACAUGGAAUUUCACAUAGAAAUUAAGUCGAGGAUCCCUAAUCUCUCGAGUCAAAGUUAGACCAAACACUUACCUUAAUCCAACGACCAACUCAAAGCUCAAUUACGGCUUUUCCUUUAGUUUCUACCUUCGAACCACUCGUAUCUAGUUAUAAUUAACUUAAUAACAUCAUUUAUCGCUAAGAAAAUCAAUUCCAAUACAUAAUUAUAGGUUUUCCAAUAUUUUCCCCCAAAAAAUCAAAAACUGACCCCGGGCUCGCUUGAUCAAAACUCGAGGUUCGGACCAAAACCCAUUCACCCCUGAGCCCGAAUAUGUAAUUAGUUUCGAAAUCCGACCUCAAAUCGAGGUCUAAAUUCCAAUUAUAUAAAAAUCACUAAUUUUACCCAAGCUCCCAAUUUUCACCGUGAAAUCGCUAAAUAUUUGGUUGAAUUCUUGUAGAAUGAAGUGAAAGAUUGAAAGAAACAAGUUAAGAAUCACUUACCUAUGAUUUGGGGAAGAAUUGAUCUUUGAAAAAUCGCCUAGAGGGUUUCUUGUAUUUGGAAGCUUUUAAAAAUGAGAAAAAUCCCGUCUAAGCCAAGACUUAUCAGCUGCAGAUAUCGCAUUUGCGAAGCUCGUAAAUGCGAGAAAAGUUUCGUAAAUGCGAACUCCCUUGCAUUCCUGCAGGUAUCGUAAAUGCGUAGAUCCAUUCUCAAAUGCGGACCUUUUCUUCGCAAAUGCAAACUACCCAGUCCCCUCCCAUGCUUACAAAUGCGAACAUUCUUCGCAAAUGCGAGGCUCGCAUUUGCGAGAUCUGCAGACCUGAAGCAUACCAGCAAAUUUUCUUAAGUCCAAAUCACUUUGUAGCCUAUCCAAAACUCACCCGAGCUCUCGGGGCUCCAAACCAAAUAUGCACACAAGUCUUAAAACAUUAUACAAACUUGUUCGUGCGAUCAAAUUGCCAAAAUAACACCUAGAACUACGAAUUUAUUACCAAAUUGCAUGAAAUUUUCAAGAAAGUUUUAAAACUUCUAUUUUCUCAAUCGAAGGUCUGAAUCACGUCAAAUCAGUUCCGUUUCUCACCAAAUUAUACAGAUAAUGUAUAAAUAUCACAACAAACCUGUACCGAGCUUCGGAACCAAAAUACAGACCUGAUACCACUAAGAUCAAACAUUACCAAAAUUCUUUAAACCAUUAUAAUUUCAAUCUUAUAAUUUUCAUCAAAAAUUUAUUUCUUGGGCUACGGACCUCGGAAUUUGAUUCCGGGCAUACGCCCAAGUCUCAUAUUUUACUACGGACCCACCAGGACCGUCAGAACACGGGUCCGGAUUCGUUUACUCAAAAUAUUAACCAAAGUCAACUAAAAUCAACUUUUUAUGUCAAAAAUUAUUAUUUCAUAAAUUUUCCACAUAAAUGCUUUCCAGAAUUAUGCCCGGACUGCGUACGCAAAUCGAGAAGAGAUAAAACGAGGUUUUAAGGCCUCGAAAUAUGGAAUUGAGUUCUAAAACAUAAGAUGACCCUUUGGGUCAUCACAUUCUCAAUUUUAGUUUUUUUUAUCUUUGGGUUUUUAGGUUUGAAAUUUUACAGGUUUCAAAGUUAUGAGUUCGGAGGUUUAUGUGUUUGGAAGAUUAAGGGUUUAGAAAUUAUAAAGUUUACGGAUUCGAAAGUUUAGCGGUUCGAAAGUUUAUGAAAUUUGUGGGUUCGGAAGGUUGUUGGUUCGAAAGCUUAUAGCUUCAUAUUUAUUGUAUCUAAAUUAUUUAUAAAUACUUUUGAGAAGUUAUUUUUCUUAAUUUGUGUACCAAAUACCGAAAAAUGAAUAAGAUUACUACUUGUUUUUCAAGAAAAUAUUUUCUUAGAAAAUAUUUUCCGUGGAAAACAUUUUCCGUGGAAAAUUUUUUCCGUUAUACCAAACACCCCCUUUGUCACAAUUGAGAUUGGGAUUCAAAGUAGUAAAAGCCUCAGGGGUCACACUAAAAUUCUGCAUAAUGCUGAAGCAUGUGUCUCCAAUAUUUGCACCAUAAAUCUUACUGCAUAUUAUAAUUAUUGAAAAAUAAAAGAUAAAUUACACAACUAGUAUUUGGUCGAUGAGUGAAAAUGUGCUAUUAUAUUAAAGUUAGUUAGUAAUAUUAUCAAAUCAAAUAGUUUUUUAUGAAAUUUCUGAGUAUUAAAGAUGGAUGAUAAUAUCUAGGUUUUAUUUUGAGCAAGUGGCAUUAAAAACUAAGAUAGUUUGAACUUCGAAGGAAAAUGUGAGGAAAGUCAUUUUACGUAUGAACAUAUUUUCUAGUGAUCAAACACUAAAAAUGACUUCCAUUGUAGCAAAAAUAUUCUUAACUAUUUUCUUAGAAACUUACUUCGAUCCAUACCAAAAACACCUAUAAGUAAUUUAUUUUAUUUUUUAAAGAAAAUGACUUCCCUUAGUAAAAAAAAACACCCUUAAGUUACAUGGAAGGAAGUUGUUUCGAAAGAUCUAUAAAUCAUUGUAAGCACCGUAAAUUUAGCUAAAGAUAAAGUCCAAUGGAAGAGAAAAAUCCAUAUUGGUGAUGCCUACUAAUUGAGAAUAGGUUUUAGACUUGGUAGAGAACUACCACCACUACUACUACUACUAUUAUUAUUAUUAUUAUUAUUACUAUUAUUAUUAUUAUUAUUAUUAUUAUUAUUAUUAUUAUUANNNNNNNNNNNNNNNNNNNNNNNNNNNNNNNNNNNNNNNNNNNNNNNNNNNNNNNNNNNNNNNNNNNNNNNNNNNNNNNNNNNNNNNNNNNNNNNNNNNNNNNNNNNNNNNNNNNNNNNNNNNNNNNNNNNNNNNNNNNNNNNNNNNNNNNNNNNNNNNNNNNNNNNNNNNNNNNNNNNNNNNNNNNNNNNNNNNNNNNNNNNNNNNNNNNNNNNNNNNNNNNNNNNNNNNNNNNNNNNNNNNNNNNNNNNNNNNNNNNNNNNNNNNNNNNNNNNNNNNNNNNNNNNNNNNNNNNNNNNNNNNNNNNNNNNNNNNNNNNNNNNNNNNNNNNNNNNNNNNNNNNNNNNNNNNNNNNNNNNNNNNNNNNNNNNNNNNNNNNNNNNNNNNNNNNNNNNNNNNNNNNNNNNNNNNNNNNNNNNNNNNNNNNNNNNNNNNNNNNNNNNNNNNNNNNNNNNNNNNNNNNNNNNNNNNNNNNNNNNNNNNNNNNNNNNNNNNNNNNNNNNNNNNNNNNNNNNNNNNNNNNNNNNNNNNNNNNNNNNNNNNNNNNNNNNNNNNNNNNNNNNNNNNNNNNNNNNNNNNNNNNNNNNNNNNNNNNNNNNNNNNNNNNNNNNNNNNNNNNNNNNNNNNNNNNNNNNNNNNNNNNUUUUGUUUCCAAAUGGUUCUAACUCAUUCCAUCAAGUUAAUUUAAUUAAGAAUGACAUGCUAGUAGUAAUAGCUGGGUAAUAUACCAAAAUGCUGCUCAAUAGAGGGAAUAAGUAGAUUAUAGAUAGAAUUUGAUCGUCUUGUGCAAGUUAUAUAUAAACAAUUAUGAAGUACGCUAAAAAAUCAGCUUAGAACAUGAAUUAAUUAAAUAAAUUGUUGAAGAAAGAAGCUGGAAUAUGAAAAGAAAACCCGAAACAAUACGAAAAAGCUAGAUUAAAUUGCUUUUUUAAUCAUACAUUAGCUUUACUCUUUAUUCGCAAAUCAGACAGUACUGAUUUAAUUGUGAGUAUUUAUUUCUUGAGCUUGAUAAUCCCUUGCUUUAUACUUUAGAUGGAGGAACCAUCAAGGCAUAUCCAUUCACCAACGAACAUUUUGUUACAAUUGAGGUUAGGGUUGAAAGCAGUAAAAACCUCAGGGGUCACACUGAAAUUUCCCAUAAUGCUGAAGCAUGUGUCUCCAAUAUUUGCACCAUAAAUCUUACUACACACUAGA